rnacentral:lncRNA from 1 species
CCGACUCUUGCAAUUAUGAGGGAUACAUGCACAAAAUGUGAGAAACUUUCCAGCCUAUAUCAAAUCUCUCCUUGCAAGGAACACUCAGCUAGUACAAGAAGAGUAGCUGGAAGUAAUAUUACACUGUGAGAGUCACAAACAGAAAUUGAAGGAAAACUAUAUAGAUGCAUGACAACAUUGAGAUGGUAUUGCAGGGGUUAAAGCUGCCAACUCCAUGUGAGCAUCUAGCAUUUCUGCAUCUGACAUAGCUAGUCUAUCUAACAUAAAUGACAUCCCCUCCAAUUCAAGUUCUUUAUCUUCGUGAACACUUUUGACUGGUGUACCAAAAAAGGCAGCAAGAUGGCAAUACAGGAGUAGGGUACACUUCCGGUUGGUCUAGAUGAUUGUCAGUUAUGUUUUGGAAUCUCCUAAGGCACCGAUCUUGUCUAGAAGUUUAUAGGAAUCUAUUGCACCUAUAGAUAAAAUCCCUUCAUUCAACUAAUAUCAGCUCAGGAUUCUUUACUUGCGACUAUGUCAUAUCCAAAUUUUCACUCCCAUUACCAUCAUUCACUCUUUAUUUUUGUGUAAAACACCAACUCCUUAGUUCAACGUGAUGUUCUCAUUCAGACUUUCAAGCACCUUACCCCUAUAUUCACCAACUCUCCAUCAAACGCAAUUUGAACGGGGUUGGCAAUUGAAGUGGUUUAUUUGAGGAAAAGGAUCGUAGCACAUUUAAGGAAAAGCAAAGGAGGAAUAAGGCCAAUGACUCAAAGGGUGCACACCAAGCCACUGUUGAAGAAACGAACACACUGAAUAAAAAAAAAAGAGAACUUUCUCGAGUCGAAGCAAUUACCAGGAGAGAUCGUCCACAGCCUCUGCCAAGUGAAGCGAUGAAGCACCCACCUUCGAGUCCUCCGUGACCAUCGCCAGCAAAUCCUUCUCCGGAUUCCACUCCACCUUCUUCACCUGCCAAUCGGAAGAAAUUGAGCAAAAACCUCACAAAACCGAAUGGGAACACAAUCCGAUCGACCCUUCCAUUAUUAGGUCACGAAAGAAGGCUGACCGGAGCCGAAACUGAGAAGCCAGAGGUUUGUCGAGCUGUAGCUCAAAGGUAAGCACGUGCCGCGACCCUUCGUCGGUCUCCAUAGCAGAAAAAGCUCCGGAAGCAGCUGAAAACGCAGCCACCAGCUGCUGGAGCAAGCAGCGAGGGGGUGUCCAAGGAGCUAGUGGAGGGUAGAGCUCGAAAACCUUAGAAGAAAGCUUUUCAGCUCUCAAGAGAAGACCAAGACAUUCUGCCUCAAGCUCUUCCCCACGCUUCUCCUUCGACAGCCGAUUACGCCUCCACGAGGCCGCGCACGAAUCGGAACCGCCUUCGACGGAGAGAACGUACCGGAGGCCGGAAACUCGGACCGUCGGGGAGCGGAGGAGCUGGAGGUCAACUCGACGAUCGUGAGGACGGCGGCGGGAGCGAGCGAGGGCUGGCGGAGACAAUGAGGAAGAGAAGAGAAUUUGAUUACGGGCCGAGCCGGGCCGGAUUGGGCCAUAAGUCGGGCUUAACUUCUUCUCCAGCUUCGUUCAUCAUACAAAAAAGAACCUAAGAGAUGACCCGACGGGCCGCCGCGGCCUCAAACGGUCCGGGCCGGGCUUAACAAGUGGCCCUUCGGGCCCGGGUCCCGGCCCGCCAUGCUACUGUUCAUGUCAAGGCGCGGCCUAUUUAUAGAGUUUUUAGGUGGGGUUUAGUAGUAAGCCACCGAGCCAGUGAGCUUCAGAACAAAAGGGAAAGAGAGUCUGGCAAUGUCAGAGAAACUUCUCGCGUAGGGUAGAGAAAACAGCCGGGCUCCGUUUUUUGGGAAAAAAAUAAACAAUUUAAAAAAUGUUUUCUUAAACUUAAUCAUUAUUCUCUCUUAAAAAAUGAGUCAAUGAGAAAAUAUUCCCAUCAUUAAAAACAAUUCCUACCUAAAUAUUUUUGUUGAUAGUGAGAAUAUUCGCCAUCCCCUCUUUUCCUAAGAUAUAUAAAUGAUUAAAAUGAGGAAAUUUCUUUUCCAUGUCAUUGAUUUUUCAAGAUGGGAACGGAGCCUUAGAGAGUUCGUCUUUAUAUGAGCUAGUUAGCCCCAAGUGUUUGGUAGUGGUGUGAGAAAUUCAAUUGUAAUAGUGAGGUGCGGCCUUUUGCUACAUAUAGCGUCGACUAGUUGUCCAAGACAACAUUUUGUUUGAGUGUUAUGUUUGUGUUGGUAUAAGUGUGUCUCGAAUUACCUAGUGCAAUUUUAUUGUAUUACUAGCACCACACUUUCGCACCCAUCAAUUGGUAUUAGAGCCAUGCUUCUUUGCUCAACUAGUGGUAUCAGAGUUAGACGAUCGGAGAUCGAUUGGACCUCGCUUAAGUCUUUGUCCAUCAGCCAAGUCAAGGCGAGUGAUGACAUAAUCGAGAAGAUUUUGAUGGGUACUCGGAGUCUGAAAGUUACAUGCAUAGGGUGUGAUCACAACAACUUUUAUUCGAGAAGCUAGAAAGAACUUAUGACUGGCAGAUGUUGGCUAGACAAGGGCAUAUCUAUGUAGGAGCCUGUCAUCAUUGAUAAUGGUAUUCAUCUGCGGACACAACUUUGUUUACUAAUUCUUCAUCAAAAAGUAUCUCUCUGAUGAAAAAUCCCAGAGAUUAAUUUUCCAUCAUUGAUAAUGUGCUAUUACCAUCUUUCUUAAAAAAGUCCUCCAAUUUUUCACAUGUAAAGAAUGCAAGGUAUAUCAUUCAAAGAGCAUUCUUAGAUUCUACAGAAUUGCAACCACAUUGGUCGAGUGCUAAGUAUUAAGUCUUGCUCGUUUGCUGCUUUCCACAAGCAAUACAGCUACUUUUCAGAGCGCAUACAUUGUUAAAUUAUUAUCUUAAGUUCCUCAAUAUCCUCCAUUCAUUCAUACUGCAGUUUAACAAUGAUGUUGGGUUACAAACAUAGUUAGUUCUAUAAUUACUAAAAGAGUAGCAGAAGCAAAUUUUAUAAGACUACACAACAUCUAUGAUAGAGGGUUUAGCCAAAGGUGUUUUGUGGGACAAAUGCAAAUCACCUUCAAUCCGUUUCCUAUCAAUAGCAAAGGUGAUCUUGGCCUUCUCUUCUUGUUUUCUUGGUCCUUGAAAAUUUUAACUGUAAUUGCUUCAAAACGAGCUCGUGCAAGAUUGCUUGUGCAUAGUUUGAUUAAAUAUGCGGUUUGCACUGGUUGCGGACCAAAUACCAAUAAUUUAUUUUAUUGAUAAUAUUUAUCGUUUCAUCGUAUUAUUAAGUGUCGUUGUUACUAUUUCUGCACUUAUUAUGCAUCAAGAAAGAAUACAUUGAUGACAUAAAGAUUUGGAAAGGAAUAAAUCAAGCAAGAUUUAAUCUUACAAUAGAUUCCGCUAAAGUCGAUAGAAAGUCAUCAUAAGGAUAAUUAACAAACACAAGAAACGAAAUAUCACACAUGCACAUGUCACAUACAUAAAAUCAGAUAUACCAAUGCAGCUCGGUGCAUAUGAUCAAACACAAAGCUAUCAAGUCUAUAAGAGUUUUUCCUCUAGAUUGGCAAUAAAUCCUAGAGGAAGAAUGAUAAAAUUAAACAAUUUCAGAUUUCUGUAUAUCUAUAAAUCAUUAAGUUCUUUGGCUACAUGAUACUCUUGUCAAGAAUACGAAACAUAAUCUCAUAAUCUUAAACCUACCACCUUGAUAGUAUAUAUCUAGCUAGUCAUAUCGAUUAUAGUAAUCCCAGAGAUCGACCCUUUCACAUGAGCGUAUUUUGUACAUUGGCUUGGAUGCAUCACUUAAUAGUGAUGUGUGGAGAAAUGAGUCAAUAUUAAGUGGGAUUUCGACAUUCAAAUGUAAAGUUCGUCGGUUGAUCACACCAUGUAAUCCAUUCAACCCAAAGUACAAACAAUCCAAACCAGACAUUUGGUUCUCGUACAGACGAAAAUAAUAAACAUAUAGGCACGAAGUGAAAGUUGGGCACUAUCGAAUAGUUGUCAAAGCUUGCAGAAAUACCAUGAAAACAAUCAACCCCCCCAGAUAAAAGCCAUGGGUCAGUAUCUUUCAGUCGAUUCCAUCUAAUUCAAUAGAUAGAUGCUUAAACUUUCAUUCUGCUUUUUCUCUUCGAUGAAUGCACGCCUAGCAGAAAAGUUUCAUGGCGGGCAUAAAUUAGAACUCUCCAGAAAGAGUGAAGCCGAAGAGCUUCAGUCAGAAAGCACAGAUGCAUUGCUUCUCACACUGAUGCCUGAGGUUUGAGCAUUAGAAGUCCGCCCACAAGAGCAACACAAGCAUUACCACUGCAAAUUCACAAAGAGACGUUCAUUCUGAUACAGAGUUUAGACGUUCAUUCUGAAUCAGAGAUUUUAUCUUUAUCCUCGUCUAGUAUGUAGACCGGGCCUACUUUCUUGCAGCCAAAACACAAGCGGUGCCUCUACUUGCUGUUGCCCAAAAAAAAAAAAAUCAACUUGAUUUCACUCUAAUGUUCCUAUAAUAUGGCCAUAACUAAUGCGAUGUUUUGAUACAUCUGUUGGGUAAAAGUAAUAAGUACAAUACUUGCAUCGCACUAAGACACAAGUGGAAAUAAUAAUUGUGUACCUUAAGAGGCUAUGGUAUGCAUGUGAACUAUGAAUGCUCUACAGUAUCUUGCUAUACUAGAUACCAUGAAAGUAUCUAUCAUCACUGACAUGUAAGCGCUAGUUCUUAGUCAGUAACUCAGACCACAGCGAACCUACCUUAAGAAGAUAAUUAUUCUUUCCGUAUUUGUCUGGCCACCAAAGAUUCAUCAUUUUUGCACUUUGACCUCCCAAUUGAUCUAAAAUUUAUAGGAAAACCUAAUACUUUAGUAUUUUGCUUCUUCAAAUGAAAAAAUAUUCUUUGGAGCAUAAAUUUGCAUGUUUCCAUUCAUCAAAACAAAAAAUGACAUGGUCCAAAAAGAGGCUCAACGUACAUAUGCUAGCCAUAUUCGAACUUAAGAGUAGAUUGUAAAAGUAGAAAUUUAGUACGGAGCAUGAACAAGAUUGAUUCAGUUCCACCAUCCAGUCAAUGAGAUAAUUUUGUUACCGACACUACUGGCAAGUUUAUCAAAUAAUGAUCCAGAAAGGAAAGACUAUGGGCAACGAUAAGUUACCAAACAUCCAGACUGCAAAUGGACAUGGUAAGAAGCUUGAGGAAAAUAGUUUUUUGAGUAUACAAUUGAUGGCAUGACAAUGAAUUGAUCCUUAGCUCGAUGCAAUGGCAAUGUGAAAAUUUCUCACCACUAACUGACAAGGAGGAACUGUAGUAUGGGGAAGGCUGCCAACUUCUCAUUCUCCAUCUUUAGGUGUAAGAGUCCUAUAUGUAUAUUUUCACUGGGUUAGUAUUUUAGAAGUGAGAAUGAGAUAACCAAGCAUAAGUGUUAUCACAAAAUAUAAGCAAAAGUGGCACUACUAAUCCAUUAGGGUAAUCAAAUGCACAUUUCUUGACAUACAUACAAGGCUCCAGCUGUUAAGAUAUGUUGGAACUUUUGAAGUUAUGGUAAGUUAGAAAGUAAAACAUCCUUUAAAAUUGCAGGCAUGAAAUGACAUGUGUAUGCGGAGUAAAAACUGAGCUACUGCUAGUCAUGCUAAUGAGGAGAGCAGAUACAUAACAAAUAGGAAGAACAAAUGAACAAACCUUUCUACAAGAAGUUGGAGUUCCAAACCCCAAUACGCUCUUCCUCUAAUUUUUUGAAGGCCCAAAAAGGUCUAGACUAGUUGACAAGUUUGCUAGGUAACGAAUUGACAAUACACCUGUUACUGGUUCAACAGGGUCAAUACCACCGGUUCUUGACCAGUACCACCAGUCCUUGACAACUACUGUUUCUGUUGUGAAACUAGACUUGAAAGAAAAGCACAAUAUCCUAGUCUUUUUUCAUUUUGCCAUUAAUGUCUUAAAAAGUGAAUUGACAUCCGUUGGAACACAUAAAACUCAUAAGCAACCUGUACUUAUCACAAGUAAGGAAUCAAUAUGCAAGCUUUGGAUCCACAAGUUACCUUCAGUGUGACACCCAGAUUUUCAAGCUCCGACUUCGAUGGGAUAAAUUGGGCAUUUCAUCGACGCGACUACAGUAUUUUUCUUUGAGUUGGCCACUCACAAGAUAACUAGACUAGCUGGGUAAGCUAUUAGGGACUUUAAGGCAGAUAGACUGAGAAUUCGACCAGAAAUCGACUUCUUGACCGUGCUUAUCUUUAGGGAUCAUUGUGGCACAGUAUAAAAUCGAUUUGAGAUCAAAGAUAGGUCAGUCGACUGAGAUGUGUGACCGAUCGUGGGUGACUCCACUAAAUUGGAAAAUUCUCGUUGAUCGGUACUAGUUUGAUUUUACUGUCGUUUUGGUACCAUGUAUCCGUAUCUGAAUCCUCGAGAUUUUCACUAUAAUCAAGAGUCGCCAAUGAGUCGAGUGGGUUCAUAGUGGCUCGAAGAAAAUCGACCACGGGUCAUUUGCCUUAAAAAGUUCUGAAAAUUACCCAGUAGUCUAGGUCAUGCUAAAAACGCGUCGGAGUGAAAUUAACCGCCAAUCUGAGUCCGAUUUCAGAAAUUGAAGAUUUUGUCAUGUCACAAUAAAUUUUAGGAAUGUCGACUCACCUUUUGAAGAAUUUUCAGCGAGUUCGGGAUUUUUACGGAAAAUCGUUGCGGACGAUGCGGAGAACGAGCGAAAAUUCGGAUUGGUCAAUUUGAAGAGACUUUUAGCAUCUAGUGUAAGUGAAUCGGUGAAUGGAAGUUGUUUGGGCUUUUUCUGAUUUCAAAUUGGACCUCAACCGAAUUUUUUUUGUUCAGAAAAUCGGAUUCCGAGAAAAAUGAAAUAAAAAUCAGUUUUGAAGGAAAUUCGUGAGAUGGAGAAAUCGAUUCAUCUUGGUCUUUAUUGAGACUUCAAAUUGUGCAAUUGGUAAAGAAUUGGACCCCAGAAUGACCAAUCGACGAAGUUGGUUGAAGUUGAGCAAAUGGUGUUUAUGUUUUGUUUAAUUUUCUCUCCAUUCUCCUUGGAUCCACGCACUCAUGCACGUACCCCUCUUCGGCCGACAACACCCAUGCACAUCUUCACUUUGAAAAUUGCUUUGGUCUUCAUUUCUUUAAAUGUUGACCAAUGGGACCCCCCUUCCUUCCUAUCCAUUUGCGGUCACAUCUCCCCCUCUCUUUUAUUAUUUCUCCAUGCUUCGCACGUUCCUCAUUACUUCAGCCGACAAUCUCUCUCUCUCUCGCACGAAACCCCCCUGCAGUCUUCAAUUUCUUCUUUUCCUUUGACCGGUCUUCUCUUUUAUCUUUUCUUCACUUGCUUCCCACGCCAGGGCAGCUGAACCCUACUCCCUCACGUCUUCUGCUUUCUUUAAUUUGCUUGGACGGAAGCAAACCCGCAGAAGCAGCCCCGCGAUUCCUCUUCUUCUCUGCCAUGCCGCACUCACGCAUGCCUCAUCCCCACCGAGAAUUUUCUUCCCUGUAGCUCACCCACGUAUUUCAUUCGGUCAGCAAAUCAGCAACUUCUUCUCAUGGUUAACUCCAGCAGCGACGAAAAGGAUUCCUCCGAGAGACCUCACGUCCCGCAAGCCCCGCAGCUGCAACUCAGCCCGGUUCCUGGUAGUUCCAUCACUGCGGCCACCGAAUCCAGUCAAACCGUGUCCAUUCAGCCACUGAUUUCAUCCCUGCAGAACCGAUUCAGCAAGGUCAGAAGCUCGGGAGCAGAAUACCCAACUCGAACAGCGAGCUUGUAGGCCGAUUUCGGCCUCGGUUUGGCCCCACUUGGCAGUCCUGCUUUGAGGUUUAUCGGCACUCGUCGCGUGCUCGUCAAUUUGAUCCCAACGGAUCUUUAAUCAAGUGAGUUUUACUCACUAAUGCCUUCUUAGUGUGCUAAUUAUACUUAAAGGUUGAUUAGUGUUAAUUAAGUGUAAUUAGGUGGUUAGAUUAGAAUUGAUUAGUGAUUUUUAGUUAAUUGCUUUGCAUAUUAGUUAUGUGAUUAGUGUAAUUAGAUAGAGAAUUGCCUAUAGUAUUUAUUGGAAGCUUCUUGGGAUUUUUCCCGUCCCUUAUCAGGUGUUAAUUAAGUAAAUCAGGCCUAGGUGGAAUUUUUAGGAAUUAAAUAUUAAUUUUCGAAAUUAAUUAUUUAAUUAUUUAUUUCCCGAAAAUUCAACUGGGAUGGCCAGUGACCGGGAUUUUAUGCUGAUGAUCGCAGUCCGUUUAUUUAAUUGAGUUUCAUAUUGUGCUAAAUUGGAAUUAUUAUGUUUAUUUAUUAAUUUUCGAAAUUAAUUAUUUAAUUAUUUAUUUCCCGAAAAUUCAACUGGGAUGGCCAGUGUCCGGAAUUUUGUGAUGAUUGUCGUAGAUCAGUCCGUUUAUUUAUUUGAGCUUUAAUUCGUGUCGAAUUGAUUUAAUGGUGCAUUUUAAGUUAUGUUAUUAAAUAAUGCAAUUUUCGCCUUGUGAUUAAGAAUUGGUCGGGUAUCGGUUGUCAGUAUCGAAAGUGAGUUGGUAAAUCACCUGGAGAAUGCAUGUGGCCUGGUGAAUUGGAAUGUCACCUGGGAAAGACACGUGGCUUGGUGAUUAGAUAUGUCAUCUUGGCGAAAAAGUAGCCUUAGAGAAUGCACGUGGCUCGGAGACUCGGUAUGUCUUCCUAGAGAAUGCACGUGGCUCGGUGACAGAGUAUGGCAUCGUAGAAAGGGGUCGAGUGGGACCAUAAAGCCACUAAAUCUUGGAAUGGUCGGGUGGGACCGUAAAGCCACUAGAUCAUGAGAGGGUUGGGUGGGACCAUAAAGCCACUAAAUCUUUAAGGGGGUCGGGUGGGACCAUAAAGCCACUAAAUCUUGGAAUGGUCGGGUGGGACCGUAAAGCUACUAGAUCAUGAGAGGGUCGGGUGGGACCAUAAAGCCACUAAAUCUUGAAAAGGUCAGGUGGGACCAUAAAGCCACUAAAUCUUGGAAAAGUCGGGUGGGAUCGUAAAGCCACUAGAUCAUGAGAGGGUCGGGUGGGACCAUAAAGCCACUAAAUCUUGAAAAGGUCGGGUGGGACCAUAAAGCCACUAAAUCUUGGAAAGGUCGGGUGGGACCAUAAAGCCAUUAGAUCUUGAGAGGGUCGGGUGGGACCGUAAAGCCUCUAGAUCUUGAAAGGGUUGGGUGGGACCGUAAAGCCACUAGAUCUUGAGAGGGUCGGGUGGGCCCGUAAAGCCACUAAAUCCAAGGAAUUGCUUGGUGUGGGAUGAAUGACCUAGAAAUGGUCCGGCUGGUAUGAAAUCGACUAAGUCGGUUAGAUCGAUGCUUCGAUCUGUGAUGUGAUUGCUUGUGUACCUAUAUGAUAUGUGCUAAUAUGCAAGUGGAAUUUGAGGCCAAGGUAAGUCCUCCGACUCAUGUUGUGCAUAGGCAGCCCUAAGGUGUAUUAGUUUACUAAUCGGGUCUUAGGGGAUAGAACUUGCUGAGACGUUGUCUCAGUGGUUAUUGAAUAACCAUUUUAGGACCUGGAUGAGGAGCCUAAGGAGCAUGAAUCUGGUGAGGAGAUCUCUGUUGAGGAACCCGAAGAGGAGUACAUGGAGGAGGACCCCGAGGAUAACUUCGAGUACGACCCGGAUGAGGACUGAGAUCCUGUCCUGUCUUGUCAGACCUUGUGUGCAUGUGAAUAGAUGUUAGACCAGAGUUGCAUAUAUAUAGUAUUGUAGAAUACUAUGAGAUGCAUGUAAAAAGGUGUGGUUGUAAAUUUUCAGUAUGAAAAAUAUAUGACCUGCUUUUCUAUCCCAUUGCUUUAUUGUCUGGGGAAUUAUAACUGCUUCCGCAUGUGCAUAUAUAAAUGAAAUGGUUGGCGAUACAUAGUCCUGGGAUAUCGCACAUUGUAAUCAACCAAAAGUAAGGGAUGUGUGCUUGCCUAAGGAUCGGGGCGUGACAUUCAGUCGGUACAACUCCUAGUUAUUUGCACAAGUGGUGGUGCAAAUGGAAGGCCAUUGGCCUGCAAGAUCAUCAUCCAGGCAUCUUCCAAAUUUUCAUGAGCAUCACUGAUCUUACCUAGCAGCAGAACAAUUUGACGUUCUUGUUUCCAGCAUAAUAUAUUAGUCACAUCUGCAAAUAAGGGCUUCAAAAUAAGAUAUGCCAUGAUUUUACCUUAUAUAGAGCCAAAUCCACACCAUAGUAAUUAGGAGGGAUGCACAACAAGAUUGCCUCCAAAGGCCUUCCCCGUUUCACAUUGCUUGAAUCGUUCAUAAAUCACCUCACCACUACUAUAUCAUUUGUAACAUCUAAUAAAGACUAUUUGGAAAGAGAUGUGAUCUGUAAACCCAAUUUCAUGAGUUCAAUUAGAUGAAGCAAAUUCAGAGGCAUCCUAUAAUUGUACUAUGCACAUGUAGAUCCCUGGAGAAAAUUGUAGUUUCAGAUUAAAGGUAUAUACCUAAUUGUACUCUGCACAAAUAUAUGAGGGAAUUGUGAUAAUAAAUUCAUAUCAAGAUUUUUUUUAAAAUAGUAAAAAAAGGCAUCUUGAUAGCUUCCUUGAAAAUUUAAUGAUUAAAUCAUUUCCUAAUAAAAAAAAUGAGGUACUGUUUUUCUAUACACAAUGAUCGUAAGCUAAACAGAAAGCUCAAUCCAACAAGAUCACCCAACUUAAGUUCCAAUUACAUUGUCAAGUAAUCAACUUGAGACCAAAUACGAAACACUAGAAUAUUAAGAAGAGGGUAAGUGAAAAACCAUUGUUGACUACAAAACCCAGAAGACAACACCCCACCCUCGAAGGUUUCCUUAUCUUGUUCUCCUUCUCACAUUAUAGUCUCAUAGUUCUAGCUACUCAGGCAAGGAAAUGAAAAAUAUUCGUACAAUUUUUUGGUAAUAGGAAAAUGGAUAGAAAGAUCUACAAACUCAACUAAUUGAUGAGUUGGAUAAUACCAAAAAGCAAAGGAUUGCAAUGUUUACACAAUCCAAAUUUGAAUCUAGGCACUCAUACUCAAACUCCCAUUAUGCAUACAAAGAGAUCAAAAAUUUCACAUUUGGUACACAUAUCAGCAAUGAGGACUAGACUUGAAAGGGAGAAAAAUCAAUCACUUCAAACAAUAGAUAGCAGUAAUAUUUUGUCCCAUAAUUCAUAUUUCUCCCACAGAGGUGGCAUGUGUAAGAACACUUAUGCAUGGCAAACAAGAUAUAGCAUAAACAAGAAGAAUCUACAAUGAAAGAGCAAUAAACAACACAUUCAGAUAUGAAUAUCUAUGCAAGAACAAGAUUCUAUUACAUUUCACAUUUCUUAUUCUUUUGCUAAUACCUUUGUUCCAUCUACUGAAAUUCCUCCAUAAGUGUCCUUCGCAAAUAUUCACUGUCCCCAAAACCUCCAAAUUGCUAUAAUUCUGACACAAUAAUGCGUGUAAGACAUUUUGCUGACUUGACCUGACAUAAAACAUAAAGGCAGAAAAGUGCAAGAAAUCACACUUUUUUCUUUAAAAAAGCAAGACCUUCCAAUCCAAUGAGAAAUAACAAUCAACAUGUCAAUUUUAACCCUCAUUACCUUGAGGAUAAUUAAAAUAGUGCUGGACCAACAAAAACCAGAGUUGACGACCUGCAAACCCCACUAACUUGAGUCAAUCUUCUCUAGUUGAAGUGCUCAAAGUAUUUAUGAAAACUGUAGCAAGAUGACAUGAAAUGAAGAACCCACAAACCAGGAGUCAUUUACCAUUGCGUAUCAUCAGUUUAGCAACUAAUUUAGAUGCUGCUAGAGCACAUGAAAACAAUACUAGGCUUGACAGCAUAUCAUUCUGACGUAUAAAGCAUGACCAAGUUCCAUUACACCAUGGUAUUAGAAUUCUCUUGCACACAAAUGGAUAGCACAACCCUGUGAAGGCCUACCAAAAUAGCUACUAGAGUACAUGAAGGCAAAUACCAAGCUGACCAUAUUUCACGGUAUCUAAGGAGUACUAAGCUAACCAACUUUUUCACUUUGAAGCAAUUAUAAGGACAGACUGUCCACAGCCUUUGCCAAUUGACACUACCUUCGAGUCUUCCGUGACUAUCGCCAGCCAAUACUUCUCCAGAUUCUACUCCGUCAUCUUCACCUGCCAAUCGGAAAUCAAGCAAACUUCACAAAAUCGAGUCGACCGCCUAUUAGUUCGCAAAAGAACGCUAGGAACUAGACCUAAGAAGCCAGUGAUUUAUCGAACUAAAGUUGAAACAGAAACAUGAUGCACUGCGGUCCUUUGCCAGUCUCUAUAGCUAAACCUUUGUGAGUAGCUGAAAAUGCAACAUUAACACUGGAACAAAUUGCAAGGAUGUGAGCUGAAAGAGGGCUUGUGAAGGAUAGAGCUCAAAGAACCUUAACGAAAGCUUGAGCCAGUUAAAGAGUGAGAGGGUAAGGAAAGUCCACUUGGGUCCUAGAGUAAACAAGUGGGAGAGAAAAUAAGGAAGAUAGAGAAACUUGAUCACAGGAGUGGAGGCGAACAUUUUCAAGUAUGCAAAAAACCUUUUACCAUUCCAAGUAUGCAUUGAGCUUCUGAUCCUUCUAUAUUUCAAUUCCUUUUAGAAGUGCCUGGCGAAAGCUCUCUCGGAUAUUUCAGCAUUUACAUCAACCAAUGAAAUAAUAACCGAAUCUUGCCUGUGAAUCAGAUGAAAUCAAUCCAGCAACUAACAUCAACGAACUAGGAAUAAUACUCUGAAGUUUAUGAAUCACUAUUUCUCAAACUACAUUUUCUUUUUGAACUCUUUGGAUCCAACUAAUGGGCCAUCUAACAUCAUCACCCACAGAAGCUUUGAUCAAAUUAACAUAGUGAAUUCAACUUAGGUUGCUUGCUUUUGCGGGACAUAGUAUGAUUCUUUUCCUUAUCAUUAUGUGAUAUUCAUGAUUAGAAUGAAUGCAAGGCAGUUUUCAAAUGGCAUAUAGGAUAUCGAAAAGUUUCCUCAUGAAACUUAUGCAAAUGCUUCCUGUCUUUUACUUUUCAACAAGUAAAUGAACUAAGAAGAGCUUAUACACAAUAUACGAAUUAUUUUACAGUACAACCGAUUAUGUCAAAAGACACUCCAAUAAUGUCUUGCUUGGCUCAAAAGUUCAAGUAUAUGACAGAUGGCUUUUCCAACUCUACAAAUAUCAAGAUGCAUUCUUUGGGAUAAUCUAUUAUUAGCCUUGGAGUAGUUAUAUCCUGGAUUCAAACCAAAUGAACAAGGAUCCAUAGUUAGAAAAAUUCGAAUUGCAAUUUUCUCGAUUGAUCCAAAUAAUUCACAAUGCUUUUGCUUCUACCUGAUUGUUAGUUCACUCACAGCCACACCAGUAGGAGAAGAGCUUGUUGUUGCAUUUGGCAUUUCUAGAUUGACAUGGUUACUGUAAUUAGCUAAUGCAAACAGUUCUGUGAAAUAAAAUGUAUGGAACUCAAUGGUUGGAUAAACUUUAUCCAAUGUUUGUAGUGUUUGCAUACCGAGGGAUGCCCUGUCAACGUGCUCCAUUUGCACCUUAAAUUCACUCUUAAGCAUAACUUAUAAACAUGCAAUCAUGAGCUCCAUGGUAAGGGCAGAGCAAACUAAAACCUCAAAUUAGGAGGACCGCCACAUAGGGUCCUUCAAUUUGCAUUUCUCAACCUGCACAAUGACCUUUGGCAUCCUAUUAGAGACUUGUAUAUACCAGUUUUUAUGCACUACUUCUAGCAUUCCAGAAUCAAUCGAACAUUGAGAAUCUUUAUUUUUCUGCAUAGGAUGAAGAAAUCUUACUCGAUAACUAAUGAAAAAUGAUUUGCUUGGAAAGCCUUUUCAUCCAAAUAAUUCACCUAGAGAUAUCCAGUCUUUCCAAAACUCCGGCCUAUCGAAGCCUUCAAUUUUGACUAAGUUUUUGCAGCCCUUAGCUUCUAAUUUCUUCAGCCUCUCGGAUUUUGGAAGGGAUAGUAUUUCUAUUGAAGUGCACCAAGAGAUAUCUAAGCUUUCCAAAUACUCCAACCUAUCAAGGCCUUGAAUUUCAGUUAAGUUUUUGCAACUUCUAGCUUCUAAUUCCUUCAGCCUCCCGGAUUUUGGAAGGUAUAGCCUUUCAAUUAAAGUGCACCUGUUGAUAUCUAGCCUUUCCAAAUACUCCGACCUAUCAAGGCCUUGAAUUUCGGCUAAGUUUUCGCAGCUUCCAGCUUUUAAUUCCUUCAGCCUCCCGGAUUUUGGAAGGUCCAAUCGUUUGAUUGAAUCACACGAUAUGACAUUCAAGCUUUCCAAAUAUAUCAAUUUGUCAAUACCUCGAACUUCAAGUAGAUUGUCGCAGCUUUCGAGGCAUAAUCUCCUUAGAUGGAUAAACCAUGAAACGUCCAGUGUUUCGAGAGAAAAGCAGUACUCGACGACCAAGGAUUCCAACUUGAAGGGUAUGUUUAAGGAUUGUGGUGAUUCCACUUCUUCAAUGUCCGUCGGUUGAGAGCAUUCUGAACUCUUUAAUUGCAUUGAUGGAAGCUCCUGGAUGCACUGGAGAAGUUCGCAAUUCUGAAGUUGUAGCGCCUUGAGAUGGGCUGGGUGGGAAAGCGAAGGCAAUUUGCGACUUCGACAGGUGACGCCCAAAUCUAUUAAGCUGGAAGGAAGGUCCGGCAGCGAUUGGAGGUUGUCGCAGCAUUUAAAAUCAAGGAGUCGUAGGGAAGAAAGAUUACACAUGCUUUCUACCAUUAUCCUUUUCAGAUUUCUGCAAUGGAAAGCAUGUAACUCUCGGAGCUUUCUCAGACUCCCAAUACCAUUGGGUAAUUCUUCUAUACCACUUUCAGAAAUAUCUAGAAUCUCUAGAUUCUCCAAAGACCCUAUGCUAUUUGGUAAUGCAGGAAGGGAUGGAGUAUCGGAUAGAUCGAGUUGCUGCAGUGCUUUUAAUUGACCUAUUUCUACUGGAAGCUCCCCGAGGCAGAAAUGAGGAAUGGGGCAUUCGGCGCCUGCGUCGGCGCCUACCGUGAGAUGAAGCGCGCGGGACGAGCCUAGCUCCAAGCGAAGGAGGCCCUCCGUGUCUUCAAUGGAAGCGUCGAUUCGCUUUAGUGCAGUACACCCACCGAGGAUGAGAACCUCUAACUUCUCAAAAGCUGAGAGGAAGUCAAUAUUUUCCAAGUAAUCACACCAUGAAAGGUCUAGAUAUUUAAGCUUCUUUGCCAUCUACGAAAAAAAAAAAAAAACACAAUAAUGAAUGUCGAUGGGUGAGUGUAGAGUCAUUAUGAUUCAAAAGAAAGCAUAAAAGAGAGGAAAAAAAGAAGAGUUUAAUUCUUACCUUGAAAAAAUUCCAUCCCUCCCAUUUCUCAUUUAUCUUGCUUCCUUGCAAUUCGAGUACAGCUAAUUCCUUCACAUCAAAAUUGUUUACUUCAAAAUUUGCAGGACAUUUUCGCCAUUGAAGCCAUUUUAACCUCUUCAUUAAGCCCUUAAAAUCUCCACUAAGAUGCGCAUUUAUCAUGUGAAGAUAUCUUAGAUUCGUCAAAUUCUCAAAUUUUUUUUCUGUGUAAAUGUCACCAUCUCCCUCAUCAUUUUCUAGCGAAAAUAUUUCGUCCAAGCCUUCUGCGCUGGCUUCACUCAGAUUAAUCGCCUCAAUCUUGUAUGUUCCCUAUAAGCAAGAAUCAAUGUUCAUUAGUACCAUAUCCAACUAAAGUCAUCGAAUAUCAUUUGUUCAAUGCUAUUGAUGUGUAUUAAUGUGUUCAAGAGACCAGCAAUGUGAAGACAUGAUUUUCUUUUUAUGCCAAUAAACUAUAAUCAUAAGGGCUCACAAAGUGAAGGAUGUCGACUUCCAUUUCGAAAUUUGGCCAUACGCAUCCGGAUCUUAAAAAUAAUUAUUAUGUAAUGGCUCGUCUAGAGUAAAAACUCUACAACUUGUAAUCUUCUUUCUGGAACUGUGGUUUCAUUAUCAAACUAGUUAAGACAUGCAUGCAAAGCACGGAAUAUAAUCAAAUUGCAAAGUACAAAAUCAAAAUUUUACUUGGUCAAUUUUAUAUUUCUAUUAAGGAGACUUUUUCUAUUAAGCAAUGCAUGGGUGAAAGGAUAGAUAAAAGGGAGAAAAGCCUCAGAAGCAGCAAGUCGGCCAGCAAAACUUACCACAGAUUCGGUGUUAUUAAGGAGACUUCUAGCAAAAAAAAAAAGAAAGAUAUAUAUAUAGUUUAAAAAGUUAGAAAUAAAACUCCUUUGAAGGAAAUAACCGUUCUGAGAACUCCAAAAAUCAAAACGGAAGGGGGAAAAUAAAGAGGCCACGAGAUCCCGGCCUAACCGUUUUUGAUGAAAGAAAUUAAUUUCUCGCCAUCGAUUCGGAUAAUUGAAAUAACUCAAAAAGGCUUGUUUCGAGUAACUUUUAUUAUUCGCCCUUUGCUUCGCCAUCGUUUUUGAUAGGAGAGCAAGAUAUUUACUUCUGAUUUUUAUUAGUUGCGGCGAGCAAUCUAUCUCGCCCUUUGCUUCAGCCUGUAGAUUUUGUCUGAAGGUAUUUUGGGAGUACCUGUUAAGUAACCUGACUGUUAAAAAAAAAAAAAAAACUCUAUGUGAAGUGGUUUUUAUUAGAAGUGUUGAUUUAAUAUAAUACGAGAACAUGAAAAUCGUGAAAGUCAUCUCGAAAGAGAAACACAGAUUUUCAGCGAAGAGGGCCAUUUAUUAAAUGAAAAAGUCAUACGUGAUAUACAAGAUUUUACUAAUUAAUAUAUCAAACAGGAGAUUUAAUAUGUAUAUAAAUUGCAACGUACACUUAAUUUCAUGUGAUAGGGAAUAUUAAUAUAUGACAGAAAAACCAUAAAAGGAAAUUCUUUCUAUAAGAGAGCAACUCCCUACUUUCUAAUCACGUCAAUGAAAAAUUCGGGGGCAAUAGUGAAGGUUCUCAAUCCUCUAGACCAAGCACUAAGUAGUGACCGACAUUACUCUUAAGCAUAGAACAUGGACUAAAUGAGAAAAAGAAAUGAAACGGUUACCUUAUUUUCCUUUAGCACUUUUUGGGCUUCCUUAUAGUCCCAUAACCUACUACGGCACCAAGGUUCUCGUUUGUUUUCCUCACGAACUAUUUCCCUACCUAGAUCUCUCAAUUGGUCAUGCAUUCUGAGCUUAUGAUCAUCUCCAACUUUUAUCAAUGACAUGAAUAUCAAUACUUCAAUUCCCUCCCCGGGGAAAAAGUCACAAGCAUCCCACAUGUAGGAUGCGAUUAUGUUGUUAGUGCCAAUGAAAAGGCAAGCGAUAUCCAAAAAAAUUUGUUUUUGUUCAUAGUCCAAUGCUUCGUAACUUAUUCUUAACUUUUCUUGCACUUUCUUAGGAGGGACUUUUUUUAACUUCUUUAUCGUAUCUCUCCACUGUCUCGACUCUUUUCCACACAAUAAUGAACCAAAAACCUCAAGGGAUAAGGGAAGCCCUCCGGUGAUGGAUACAGCUUCAUGAGUGAGGUCCUCAAAUUCCCUCGAAGGAGAGUCCCUUCGAAAUGCAUGUUUGCUAAACAGAAUCAAAGAUUGAUUGUAAUCCAUUUCCUUAUGUUCAUAGUCGUGGUCCACCCUAGCUUCUUCAAGAACCCUCUUGUUUCUGGUGGUAAUAAUGAUCUUGCUUCCCGAAGAAAACCAAUCACGAUUACCAGCCAAACUCUCCAACUGAACGACAUCAUCCACAUCAUCAAGAAGAACGAGGACCUUUUUACUUUUAAAUUUGGAAGAGAUGAAAUUAGUCCCUGCAUCCGCAUUACAAACUUCAUCUUUCAGCUUCAAUAUAUCGUAGAUUAAUUGAUUUUGUAAAUAAUGCAUGGCAUUACGCUUCCACAAUUCCCUUAUAUCAACAAUGAAGCUAUGAUGCUCAAAUUGAUCGAAGAGCCUGUUGUAGAUGGCUUUAGCAAGCGUAGUCUUACCAAUGCCUCCCAUUCCGUGGAUGCCAACAAAUAGGGUGUCAUGAGAUUUAUUAUCCACAAAUUCCAUAACCUUCUUCACAUGAACAUCAAUUCCGACCAAAUUCUUAGAAAUGUCCAACUUGAACUUUUUCUUCAGUUCAUUCAACACUUUUCGGACGAUCGAUUUCACCAACUCUACUUCAGACCUGUCAAAUGUGACAUGAGUUCAAAUAUGUAGCAACAAUAAUUUUAUAUUGUUUAUCUAUAGAGAACAUAAUAAAUCUGGGGAUAGAUUGAAAAACUUAAAAUAUCAUUGCUGUCAUACCUCUACAUAUAAUGAUAUAUGCUAAGUCUAAAGUGUGGUUGCUUCAAAUGGGGUGCUCCAUUUCAAUGUUACUCCAACAUAAUUUAUCAAGUCAGGAAAAACUUGAGAAAAACUUGAGGGUAUCACUUAUGAAUCUUAAAUAUUGUAUAUAUUUAGGAUUUGAACCAAAUUUUAAACUGGUUUUUUAUUUAAGACAUUAGGGAUGAUGUGGAUGUGACUUUAAAAAUUGUUUAGAGCAUUUGAAUAAGCAAAAAUCCUAUAAGGCAACCCAAUAUGAGAGUUAGCUAUCAAUCAAUAAACAAGUCAUAACUUUUGAUGCAAGAUGAAUUUAGGUCCCGUAACACCAAUCCGAAAAGUAGUUCAGAUUGUGAUAUUGUGAACUACUUGAAUGCAAUUGAAGGGAUUUCUUCUUGUUUGUGCAAUUCUACAGGCUCGCAAGUUUAACUUGUGUUGUGAAUUUAGAAUCAUUCUAGAUAGGUGCUCUUAUCAGUUUUCAUUGCCACUAGGGAUGAUUACAAGUUGUACUUUAUUUUCCUUUUGAGUAUCUAUGUUCUAUGACUUUAAUGAUCCAGUAUUGAGUUUAUAGGGAAGUAGAAGAAUAAUUUUUACCCAAAAAAGAACAUUGCUUCAAUAUAUGCAGAUGCAUGAGAUAGAAAUUACAUGUUGAAGAUAGGAAAUGCUUUGAAAAUUAUUUAAACAGACAUAUAAUAAAAAUAAUCAUUUUUUUUUGUCAUCAUCUUAUAUAACCAAUGAAACAUUUCUUUUGUAAAAUAAUUUUAAUAAUAACUAAUCAACUUUAUCAAUGAUUUAAUAAAUGUAACUUGGGAAGAUAAAGAAUUAUAGCAAAGCUUGGACGCUACCAUCUUAUGAGCUUUAAAUAAAAAUCGACAAUGAGUCGUUCUAUUAAUCUCAAAUAGAUAUGUAAUUAGAAAAGUUUGUGACAAAGAUUAAUGUAAUGCACCCUAUAAUUAGAUUGGUCAAUAUCAUUAAAGCAAUAAAAUUUAUUCAAGUGAAUGAGGUAUAAGAGUAAAAAAAUCUUUUGAUAUAAGAGUAAAUUCAUUAAAGCAAUAAAAAAAAUUCCAUCAUCUUAUACUAUUACAAAAUCUUUUGAUAUAAGAGUAAAAAUUCGUUCAAAAAAUCUUAUUAUUCAAGUGAAUGGGAUCAUAACAAUAAAAUUUAUAAUUAGAUUGGUCAAUAUGGUUAAAGCAGAAAACUAAAAAAGAAAGAAUAACUUAUAGAAUUCAUGCACCGUAGGAUCUUACUGCCAGCAAGAUCUUACAGUUUUUUAUAUAUAAAAAAAGAACGUAAAAUGAAGCAGGUGAGAAUUAGAGAAACCAACGUACCCAACGAAAAAAAAGAAUAAUUAGAACAGCCAGUAAACACCCCCACAUAUUAAAAGAAAUUAGAGAAUGUUUCGGCGAGAAAUUUUACCCUUGGGCUUCGUAUCCUUUCAAGGUGCUGACUUCAAGGAGUGCUUUCUUCCAUUUCUCCAAGGUCACUGCGUCGAAAGUAGACCUCCCAAGCAAACACUUCUCACGCCUAUGAAAUGCCUCUCCAAAACUCCCGAUUUGAUGUCCCACGUCAGCUGGUUUCACUUUGUAGAAUAUAGGCAACACCAUUUGCCCGUUCUUAUUCUUGCACUCCAUUAUUUGAACCAGUUCAUCUAGGCACCAACUACUUGUACCAUAAUUCUCUGAGAAAAUGGGGAUUAGAAUCUUACUGCUCGUGAUGGCUUUCAUAAGCACUGGUCUGAUGUCCUCGCCAUGGCAGAGCUCAUCAUCGUCUCUGAAAGCUUCAAUUCCGGCAUCAAUGAGCCCUUUAUCGAGGUGAUCGGUGAAGCCAUAUCGAGUAUCUGGGCCUCUAAAACUCAAGAAUACCUCAUAGCAGUUUCCAGUUAACGAAUUAGAUGCACUGUUGUUCGCUUUUGUCGGGGACGGACUGGAUCCAUCGGAAUUAGUUUCCGUUGGUGCAGCCAUCGAAUCAGAUGCACCAGUAUCAACAUCUUCUGCCUUUCCACGCACACUAGCUCUCUUCUUAUUGAGAAAAUAGAGCAUGAGGCCGGGGAGAAGGAUCAGUGCCACGAGCUCGGCAAAAGAAUACUCGAAAAUGAGACGAUGCAUUUCGUCUUUGCCCUGACUCUACCCUUGAUUUUCACUUUCAAGUGUGGUAGAGAAAAAAAUCGGAAUGCCUCUCAGGAAACAGAAAAUGCGUUAUUGUUGCCCAUUCUCUUGCGGUUUGAUUUAUAUAAUGAAACCAAUUGGCAACCAGAUUCGCACCAACUUGUCGGGCUACAUAUAAAUUCGUAAUUCAUUUACAGGGAACCGCAACCACGUGCUUGGAGUCGUUGCCUUCACAAUGCUCAAGGGAAUCCGAAUAUUAAUAAUAGACGGGCUGUUCAAAUUUCAAUACUCAUAAAUAAAAUGGUGGAUUUGUUGGGAAGAUGAAAAGUGGAGAGAGAGAGAGAGAGACUUGGGACGAGAGCGGAACAUGGAUCUGCGGGAGAAGAUGAAAAGGAGAAAGACAAGAGUCCAUUUCCAGAGAUGUGCUCAGAAUAGAUAAAUAUAUACAGAGCGUCGAAAAGGUGAUGUUGGGCACACCGAGUCCAGUGCCUAAAUGUUUUUGACCCUUUAACAAAUCAAAUUCAUUUCUUUCGAUAAUCCAAAAUAAGCACAUAUUUGUGUGCCCUUUUUUGCUAGCGAAUUGAAUAAGCGAACUAACUAAUCUAGGUGGAUUGAUUCCUAAUUUUUUGAUCAAACACAAUUUCGUUUUGGAUAUAAUUUUUCAUGUCACUUUGAUGAUGUUGAUCUUUUUUCUGCUUUAGAAAUGCCACAUCAAACAACCAACAAUGUUUUUGAACAUAAGGUUAACAAGGCAAAUUUGAGAUUAGUCAGUGAUUUUUUUAGAUAAAAAGAUGUUUAGGCUGGGAUUAGACAACAAGUUUAGGAUUUUUUUAGACAAAAAAAAAAAUCGAGGACAGAUUUAAGAUUAGAUCCAAGGUCAAGGAUUUAUCUUUUUAGAUAAGAAAGUUUGAGAUAAAAUUAAAACUGGAUUUAAAAUUUGAGGGUUUUUAGGACAUUAGGCCUAUAUAAAAAGAGGGAAGAGAAAAUUGAGGAGUUUUACCUAUUUAAGGGCAGAUUUGCAAUUAGAUAGCAAAUAAUUUUAUUUUUAUCCCUUUGCACUGUGGCUCAGUUCCACCAGUCCUUGAUUAACGUGAGACUAUCGCUCUUCUCUAUCAAAUUUGUCUAUUUCUUAUUUGGAAUGAGUGGCUGGGCCUAUCACACUUCUCUUUACUUAAUUGUCAAGUUACCAAUUAAUUUUUUUUUAAAUAUCAACGUAUUGAUUUUGUUUAGCCAGAUUUAUUAAUUUCACAAUUAAUCAAUCAAUCCAAAGCUAAAUAAGUAAAUCAAAAUUUACAAUUUUUGCGACAAAUGUUUUUGAUCGGUUUAGUUUAGCUAUUGCUCUAAUAUUUGUUCCCUUCUUCUUGACUUGGUCAAAAAGUGGGCUUUUAAAAAGAAUGAAAAAAAAAACCAAAAAAAAACAGAUAUAAGGGUAAAAGCGGGGGGGGAGUAAUGAUUUAUUUAACGAAAUGCGUGCUUCUUGCGCGUUCACUUGUGGUUUGAUUUAUAUAAUGAAACUAAUUGGCAAUCACAAUCAUCCCGAUAAGUCAAGUUUGUCGAGCUACAUAUAAAUCAGUCAUUUAUUCACCGGGAACUGCAACCAUGUGCUUGGAGUCGUUGCCUUCAUGUUCCUCAAAUCUCAAUGCUCAAGGGAAUCCGAAUAUUAAUAAUAGACAAGGGCUCUUCAAAUUUCAAUACAUAUAAAUAAAAUGGUGGAUCUGUGGGAAGAGGAAAAGUGGAGAGAGAGGCUUGGGAUGAGAGCUUGACACGGAUUUGCGGGAAAAGAUGGAAAGCGGGGGGAGAGAGAGAGAGAGAGAAGGCAGAGAUUCGUCCGGUCCAACACUUUCCUUACAAGUGCCCCGGGUAGAUAAAUACAAACAAAGCAUUAAGACAGUGAUAUUGGGCACGCCCAGUCCAAUGCUUGUACCGUUCGACUUUCCUCUUCUUUUGUUUAUUUUCCAUCAGAAAAGUCAUUUUAAAAAAAACAUAUAUUUAAGCUCUCGAUCCUACUUAGGGAUUUAACCCCUCUCACUUUGAGCCUUUUAAAUAUUAUACUAUCAAAUUGAUAAACUCAAUUUCAAGACUUAAGUGUUCAAUGAUUAUUUAUGCUAAAAAAUUAUGUUAUUAACGCAUGUUGAGGAUCAUAAAAAAUUAUCUACACGCUAUAUAUAUUUAUUUAUUUUAUACUCGAGCAUAAUGAGAAGAAUUUCUUUUUUCUCUGUUUAUGCCUUAAUUUCUCCUUCAAUUCUCAUAAAUAAAUCAAAAUGCCUUUUUUGCUUUUGAUUUUACUUUAUUAUAUAAUAUUUCUUUAUCGGUUUGAUUUAUCUAAUCUAAUAAAUUGGCAUGUGCUAAUAAUUCAAACUUACAGAACUAGAUAUAAAUUAGUAAUUCAUUGACCGCACCACUAAACAUAUAUUUAUGACCAUUGCCUUCACAUGGUGGAAGUUUCAAUGCGCAGAAAAAGUGAACUUUUAAGGAAACAUAGAUGCUACAUAAGUAGAUUAAACAAAUUUUAAGUGGAAUUGCAACUUUUCCUCUAUGUUAUUUCCUCAUGCGUGCCCCCACAAUUUCUCUCUCUCUCUCCCUUCAUAUUUUCCUUUCACCUGCUUUGUUCUUCUUUUCUUUCUUUCCUUUCUUUCCUUUCUUUUCUUUUGCAGACCACCUUCUCAUAUUUUCUUUAUAUUUAUCUCUUUUGCCGAUUAUAACCCUCUCUCCGUAUCUCCUUUGAAGAAAAACUCCAUCCUUUCCAUCCUUUCCAUUUUUGAGCUGCCUUUGGCAACUAUUGCCUGCGGAAAAAUCGCCCCCCCCCCCCCUUGCUUAAGAUGGAGAUUGCUCUCUCUUGACCUCUUUGGCCGUGAAUUACGGGCUUUGAAUGCCGAGGUUGCCCCCUUCUCAAGAUGGAGAUUGCUCUCUCUUGACCUCGUCCUGUACUUAUCGUUCAUUUUGGAUUGGACAUAAAAUUUGAAAAUCUUUUUUAGACGAAAAAAUGGAGCUGAGGUAGCAUUCAGUUUAAAGUUGAGGGUCUUUUAAGACAAAAAGAAAGUUAAGGAUAAAAUUAAAAUUGAAUAUUAAAUUUGAGGGUUUUUAGAGAACUAAGACUGUCUCUCAUUUCUGGUCCGCAUUCUGAGGUUGACGACUGGAGGUUCGGUGGUUCCAUCCUUCGGCGAUGCUCCUAGGUGUUCUUCGUGUUUUUCCUAGCGGGUUAAUGCCCUUGUCUUUUUUCAUCGGUUCCCCUUCACUUUUGCUAAUCGGCUAAGAAUGUAGGUUUUGGAUCCGAUCUUUUGUAAUAUUGUCCAUGCUCUAUAAAAUUAUUACCUUUACCAAAAAAAAAUAGAGAAAACAGAGUCGAGGAGCUUCACCUGUUUUAAUCACCCAAGAGUAGAUCCGUAAUUUUUUUUGAGCAAGAAGAGUAGAUCCGUAAUUAGACAGCAUGCAAUAUUCUUUUGGUGCCCUCGCUCGAUGGCUGGGUCCCACCGGUCCUUACUUAACUUGAGGCUACCCCUCCUCUUUGCUAAGUUUUUGUCCACUUCUUAUUUUGAAUGAGUGGCCAAGCCCACCACUCCUCUCUCCUUUAUUGAUUUCACAAUUUCUUAAUCAACCCAAAGUCAAAUUAAUAAAUCAAAAUUUUCAAUUUUUUUUCGGCUAAUGAUUUUUCUUGGUUUAGUUUAGCAAUUGCUGUAAUGUUUUGCCCUGCUUCUUAUCUUGGUCAAAAAGUGGGUUUUUUUUUUCGGAAAAAAAAAGGAGAAAUAUAAAGGGAUAAGGGAGAGAACGCACCAGGAGAGGAAGGAAAAGAAACGGAAAAGAAGAGAAAGAAAGGGACAGAAGAAGAAAAAAGAGAGAGAGAGAGAGCGCAUUGCACAUACAUGGGACCUCGCCAAUUCAGAUUUAUUUCGAUUUGCAAUGCCUGAUGAGGGUUUAAGUUUUUUGUUUGUUUAAUAGAAGUAGGUUUUGAAAUUAGAUUUGAAUUACGAAAACCGAUUUUGAAAUUAAAUUUUGUAGAAGUAAUUGUGAAGAUUUGUGGGAUUUGACGGGAGAUAGUUUGAAGUAACUUUUAGUUAAAGCAAAAUUUCUGAGUUUUGCAUGCAAAAUUUUGAAAAAUCACAAUGGUGAGCAAUUUGUUGAUACGUGAGAGUCAAUUCGCUGGAGAUUGAGUUUUCUCCAAAGAGGGUGGCCCCUGAUGGUGACUUUUGCAGGGUCCCCAAAGCUGGUACCUUUGCACGCCUGCUCUUUAAAGAUAAAAUGGUUUUUCUUACUUUAGUUCCCACUUGGACAAAAUUGCUCAACUUCAAAACAGUGCCGAGCUUUUUGGCUUUGAAAUGGAAAUGAUGGAGAAAUUUAACUGUAGAAGUAAAAUUCUUGGAAAUUAGAGUGCAAAAGGAAAAGUUAACAUUUUAAACGAACUUUUUGCUCUCUGUCCAUUCCUAACGCGUGCCCCAACACUUCUCUCCCUUCAAUUUUUUUUUUUUCUUUUCACCUCCUCUGUUCUUUUUUUAUUAUUAUUAUUUUCUUUUUGCCGACCAGUUUCUCAGUCCUUGUUGCCCAUUCUCUUCUUGUUACCACAUGGACAUUAUUACGUCAUUAUUUGACCAAAAAAAGAAAAAGAAGAAAUUACGUCAUCAUACUAAUUGUAGGUUGAUGGACAUUAUAUCGUAAAUAGUCAUCAUACUAAUUGUAGGUUGAUGGACAUUAUAUCGUAAAUACCCUUUAACGGUACCUUUUUUUUCCCCGACAAGCAACUUCGGUAGUGAAUUUGGGUUUUGCUACCUUUACAAACUGUUUGACAGUCAACUUACAGCUAUAACACUUUCAAAGUUUCGACACUUUCUCGAUGCAACAACGAAUAUCGACUUUCAAGAUAUACAUUAUAACUCAAUAAAACUACAUCAAUCGGACCUAAUCUCACCAUUGCACGUGUAUUUUUCUCCAGUCAAGUCACUUUCCCUAAUAUAUCAUGUGUUCGCGAUGUUCGCAAAACGGAGUCACAUGAAGAUUCCGUCCCCUUGAGCGUCAAAUCAUACAUACACCGUGUUUCGUUAUUAAUCAGUAAUUUUUUUUUGGGGGGAUUUGUUAAUUACUAAAUUGCUAUUUCUCACAAUUUUUUUUUUUGUUGAGACAAUUUCUCACAAAUUACAAACAAAGAAGAGAAAAUAAGCAACUGGCUACUUGCUACCACCAAAGUGAACGAUCGAAACCCAAUGUGCUCAUGCGUCAUUUUGAACUAAUUUCAAAUACUUACUCCCCCAGCCGAAAAUUUCCAUCAACAAUUUUCGGAAAAAGAAUUGGAAAACCAACAAUAACAUAUAUGAUAUAAUAUGACUACAUGCCAUUGUUCUUAAAAUCCAGCUUUACAAUGAUGACUAAUUCAGGAAAUCGCCCUUUCUGCACACUACAAUUAUUUACAGUAACACCAUAAAAUAAAAAAUGUUUUUAUCCUAUGCUUAUUAGAGUCACUUUUCAUGUCUCAACUAUUUUCAAUCAAGCAAACCUAUUGAAAAUAUUCCCACUUUAAAGGUCAUGCUGUCAUUAAUAUGUUAUCUCAAUCUAUAAUUACUAGCGCAUAACAUUAUAAUUCACAAUAAUUAAAAUGAUUGUCAAAUAAUUGCAAAUUCAUACUAGUUAUGACCAACUCAACUUAUUUAUCGAGGAUCUUAAAAUUAAUCUCUUUUCUUUACAGAAAAUGGUAGAAAAACAAGAAGACAAUUUUUCAUAAUCAAUCUCAUCCAAUAAUGAUUUAUCGAAAUAUAGAAUCGAUUGCCCUUCUGUUGAGAAGCUUCAAUGUGAAUUUUAUGGUAUACCUACUUGGCCCAAAAAGACAAAAAAGAAAAGAAAAGAAGAGCGAAUAAAUACCUACUUUUCUAAAUUAUGUUGGAUAAAUAAAUUAAUUCAGAUCUAUUCACUAUGAGCCCAACCGAACCCGCGGUCCAGGUCACACGAAAGCGCGUGGAAUCUUCAUCCUGCCGACGUAAUCGGACAACGGUGCCAGCCGGCAGACCAGCCCAGCUGUACUACCGUGGAAUUACACGUGUCGGCAUCAGGAGCCUCCACCUCGUCGUCUCUGUAAUGCGACGAGCGGAUCGCAUGCAACAAGAGAGAGAGAGAGAGGGGGGAUGGGCGGUGGUGAUGAUGGGACCCACCUGAUACAAAGGCUCGUGAUUAUCGCCCGCUUCUUGUCCACCUUUGAAAAGUCAACUUGCUCUUCUUUCUUUUUUAUUUUUUUUAACGCGCCUUUUUUUGGGUCGGAAUUUCUUAAACACGCAAGAAUACUAAAGAAUCUUGUUGAUUAACAUGUUUUUAAAAUAUAUAAUGACUAAUGGAAAGAGCAACGAUAGAGACUGAAAACUGGGGCUGACCAAUCAUAACGAGCGUAUUCAGCGAAAAGUUAUUAUAUGAAUACAUAUAUAUAUAUAUAUAUAUAUAUAUAUAUAUAUAUAUUAAGUUUGAAUCUGAAUCUAAAAAUCAGGAAUUUUAAGUAGGUCUUACAAGAAAUUUAGCGGUGCAGAAACUAUUCAGUACAUUUAAGAAGUUCAUUGAUUGAUACAUCAUAUAUGAUACUUAUUAGUUGCUUCAAUAAUCCUUUUUCCAAGUAGGAUGGUUCGAUUUCAUAGCCAAUUGCGUAAAAUAUUUGCUAAAACACUCGGUUAAUGAGGUUCCAUAUAUACGAAAGUGAUGAAAAAGAAACGCCAAAGCAAUUGGAGCGUUAUGGGGAGUAAAAAAUCGGCUGUGUUUAUUUCAAUUUGUACCAUUUAAUAUGAAUAACUGAAAAUAUUUUUAGAGGAAAGCUUUUCUAAAAAAAUUGGACAUGCAUGGAGUCUCGAUUUACUAUCCAAUGGACCUUAGCUCUUCGGCUUUUGAAAUUUAUUGGAUCGAUUCCUUAUUUAUAUUUUGACCGAUGGGUUUGCUUCAUGCCAUGGGUUUUCUAAUGCAAAUAGCUAAACAUGCAAAAUAACAGCCUAGAGGAAUUAAGAUAUUUCUUCUAAUUAUGCAGAGGAAUAGCAACAGUAAAAAAAUCACAAUUUUUUGUAUUUUCAAAGGGUUAUAAAGGUAUUAUGACGGCCUACGUAUUCAUGAAAAAAUUAAUUUAAAACUGGCUGAGUAAUGACUCGCUUAUUUAAAUAAUUCUAAUAUUAAAACGACGAUAUUGUUAUUUAUGGGUUCUGGAACCCUUUCCCCCAUUUCCCUAUUAAUUUUCUUCAAUCCAUACACCCUCAGAAUUGGAAAAAUCUUCCAGUUUGAACCUCACCGAAAUUCUUUUUUUAUAAAAAAAAAAGACCAAGUUAGUGACUUGAAUUUAGGAGAAUAUUAUUUAAACAGAAUUGAGAUGAACCUUGUAGGUGUUUAAGGUGUAGAUAUUUUUCUUACAAGGUGGCGCUAAUGCUUUGCGUGCAUCUCCCAAGUCCAGCAUACUAAUACGUCGAAAAAAAGUCAACCAUUGGAAUGAGCAUUGUCCUUAAUUGCGUUAAUUUUAUGCUUUCGCGUCAUUUGCUCUGUCCCCCGCAAAGAAGAAAACAAAUGUCAAUUUUGGAAUUACUUGAAUUGGGUAUGGGAACAAAAAUGCACAUUUCUUGUUAAACUCUGAUUAUUGCAAUUGUGCUUGUAUCUAUUCUAAUUACCUCUUUGGAGAGUUAGUGUUACUUUAUGUAACAUGUUAAUUGAAGAGUGUAUAAGAGUAUUAGCAGUAUAUGGUUAUUGAUGUUGAGAUUUAUUAGCUUCGAAUACAAGCAAUACGUGUUACGUGAUAACUACUUAUAAGAUUAUUAUUGGAUUCCAGCCUUGUUGGUCUAAGAGAGUCGAUGUAAGCUUAAUAUAAACUGAGCCUAAUAUAAACUGAACCACUAUAACAUCUGGGUGGGACAACUUUUGUCUCUUAACUUAAAUUUAUGUUUGGUUUAUAGAAGCAUAAUGUCUACAAUAUCAUCAAAUUGUUGUUGCAUCUCUCAAUCUGCUCCGGCAUCUAUCAAAACGUAACUAGAGUUAUUUAACGAAAGGAUUAUUAAGUUUUGUGAUUCGACCUUUUCACCUUGUUUUAAGUUACGUUAUUAGCCUCAAAAUUAUUUAGUUAUUGCGAUGGGCUAUUUUUUAUUAAUAGGAAAGAGUAUUAUAACAUGAAUUCAGUUUUCUGCUUUUCAUUUUUGGCUUCUAUUUUUUUUUAAUGUCCUUAUUGCUAUGGAAUUUGGAUUCCUAACACGGGACACUUUCUGGUGCGUGCUUUGAACGAAUAUGAGUUCUAAUUAAUAAAUGUCCGCAGGACACUCCGGUGCGUGCUUGAGCUAAUGUCCUUUUGAUUGCGGUAUGUUCGAUGUGUUUCUACAGGAGGAAAGAAGAUGCCGCUUGAAGAUGCCUUGAUGCGAAGCGUACAUACAGACAAAAGUAAGUAAAAAACUGUAUUAUACAGGUUGGCAAAUUGACAUUAGAAUAAUGUAAAUAGGAGUGCCUUUCUUACGGCUCAAUUCGACAGGGAUUAACGUAAACGAAGUUCCUGUCUAAUUUGUCGGUUGCUGAAGGUUUAUAUAUAUUUGUUAGGGCUAGUUGAAAUAGCUGCUAUUGAAUUGUUUUAGCGAUAUCUAGAGACGGUGGCAAUUUUAAGCGGGAAAAUUGCUAACAUAAGUAUCUUACCCACACUUUUUAGCAUCUAGUCAUUUUGUAAAACAUUUAAGCCAAUUUUCUUCUAUUCAAUAAAAUUUCUUCACGGUUAAAUAUAUAUAUUGUAUCACAUCUGAAGAAAUAUUCGACCACUAUUAUGAAGAAACCUUUCUAAUCAGUGAAAUCUUAUUGAUGUUUUUGUAGAGAUUUCAACCCCUUGAUUAAAAUAAUGUUAUGCAACUUUCUAUUAAAAAAGAAAAAGGAAAGAAAACUGACGAGAAAUAUUCACAUGCUCCAGGUGCUAAUGUCCAGGAGUCAAUGACAAAAACAUAUUACCCAAACGCAAGAUGACAAAACCAUAGCAGUCAGAUUGGAUUUCGUUCAUAGAUAUCUAUAGCACGCUUAAUAUUCAAAUAAGGAAAGUUUAUUCUCAAACUUCAAUCUGAUUUUUUUCGAAAAUCAACACUUAUAAACUAAUACAAAAAAAAAAAGGCCAAUAAUUGAUGGCAAGCUUUAGUCAAGGCGUCUUUUGUCUUUCUUAUAAAGAGAAGACUGAUGACAUUUGCUUUACGGGCAUAUAAAUCCCAUCUAGGUCACAUCUUCCACCUAAAACACUAAUAAAAAAUCUCCCCAAAAACAUGAGCAAAACUUCUGCCGACUUUUUACAAUAAAAGUCGCAUAAAACCAAAGUUUACCGGCCAUCUAUCUAACAAGAAUCCAAUAGAAUCAUUUGUGGUUGUUGUCAUCUGAAAUUGGACCUGCUACUGAAAAAUUGGGAUUUUUUUAAUAAAUAUUUGCAGCACGCUUAAUAUUCAAAUACAAAAAGUUUAUUAUUUUCAAUCUUCAAUCUGAUUGUUUUUAAUCAACAGUUAUAAAUUAAUACAAAAAAAAAAAGGCCAAGAUUAGAUGGCAAGCAUUAGUCAAGGCAUCUUCUUUCUUUAUUAUAAAGAGAAGACGUCACUGAUGACGUAUGAUUCACGAGCAUAUUAAUCCCAUCCCUAUCAUAUGUUCCACCAAAAACACCGUUGAAAAAUCUCCCCCCAAAAAUAAGAGCAAUAAUUUCACCAACUUCUGAUAAUAAAAGUCGCAUGAAACCAAAGUAACCGGCCAUCUAUCUAGCAGGAAUCCAAUUAGAAUCAUUUGUGGUUGUUGUCAUCUGAAAUGGACCAUCCACCGAAUGACUUGGAUCUUUUUAAUAAACAUCUAUAGCACACUUAAUAUUCAAAUAAGGUUUAUUAUUUACAAUCUUGAAUCUGAUUUUUUUGAAAAAUCAUCACUUAUAAAUUAAUACAAAAAAAGAAGAAGCCAAGAAUAGAUGGCAAGCAUUAGUUAAGGUGUCAUAUGAUUUACAGGCAUAUGAAUCCCAUCCCCGUCACAUCUUCCACCAAAGACACCCUUAAAAAAUCUCCUGCUAAAAUAAGAGCAAAAAAAUUUCACGGACUUCUCAUAAUAAAAGUCGCAUGAAAUUAAAGUUGACCAGCUAUUAUCUAGUUGGAACCCAAUUAAUAAUAAUAAUAAUAAUAAUAAUAAUAAUAAUAAUACUAAAUGAUAGUUUCAACGACUUAAUAGUUGUUGUCUUCUGAGAUUGGACUGUCCAUCGAAUAAUUUGCACCAUCUUCACCAAAAACUUGGUAGUCAUGUUGCAUGGUUUUGUUGGCUGCAUCAGGUUUGGUGGAUGGUUUGAUUGUCUUAUACUAAAUUCUACGAGUGGGAAUCCAAUUACAAUAUUAUGUACGCACUCUUUGUGUCCUCGCAGUCAAAUGGGUUAUUUGACAAAAGAAAAAUAGUUUGUAGCAAUAUCUCAUGUUUGGAAAUAAUAACAUUAGUCGAACGUGAAGUAUCUUUAUCAUUAGUUACUAGCAAUAUCCAGAUUGGGCUAUAUGUCGGACUUAACCUGUUCUCCGUAUCAUGAGAAAACCUUUGUGAUUUCGAAACAGGCCUCCAAGGGCUCAACUGGGCUGGGCUGGGCCGGGCCGGAUUUUACGACUAUAUUACCUUGUCAAACAACGCCCGUAAGUGGUCCCUUCGGGCACAUGUAGGAGUGGUGGAUUAAUUAUUGAAAUGUAAUUGGGAAAAAAACAAUGCGAUAUCAUCCUCAUUCACUUUAAAUUAGAAAAGUAUGUUAAGGAGCUAUUUGAAUCGGCGUCUUACAAUCAGCUGGUUAAGUGUCGAGAAGAUGGACUAGCUCGAGCUCGAUCGAGCCAUUUGCCAUCACCAUGCAAGCUUCAAACACUCGGCCGGAUUACUCAACCAAGUCAUUGGUCAUUACCACCUGAAAUCCACUCCUUUUUGCGCGGCAUUUCUUUUUUAACUUGGGAUGAUUGAAUAUCAAACUCAAUUGUAUAUGAUCAUUCUCUAGUCAAGCGGCGAACGUCAAUGUUUGAUCCGGCCAUUUCUCGUAUGUGCAAUGCAAACGAAUUCGGCUUGCUGCAGUACUUCAAGUGCUUGGCUCUGAAUCUGAAGAGCGUGGAGAUUGCCUAGUCCCUAGCUCGUUCUUUUGAUGACGGCGGAUGUUAGCUCACCUUGUCAAUCCUGCUUUUAUCAAAUGAUGCACUCUUGCUGGAGAAGAUGGUCAUUAAUGUCAAGAGUAAUGGAAGACGCCAAUUGAAAUCUUUUGAGUCUUUGCCAUAGCUGGCUCUACCCUACCGAGUUGCUUUUGAAAAAGCUAGGUUGUCUUUAACUAUUGUUUAAAGCGAGUUCUUGCUAGCAGCGUCAAAGAGUUAAAACAACUUAAGAAGAACCCCAGUGAGACUGUCCUGGGUGAGGAAUGUACUGAAUCCUAGUUCCUAUUAAGUCUAUUAGUCCUUCACAUGGGGCUCCUCUGCUCAGAUCACAAAGAUAAGAAGUCAAAUGAGCACCAUUUUGAAGUUUCUACCAAAAUAAAAGUUAUAUUGUAUCCUGCAAUGAUCCUCGAAAGCUAGAGAAUAUCAUUACAAAAGAAGCCUGCGCCAAUGACAUUAAACAUUUCAAAAACUGGAAGGAGAGCCUCCGAAUUUAGUGUUAUUGUUGCUGGAGUGAGUCUUGGCUUCCAGUAGUGUGAAUUUUUGGACUUCUAUUGAAAAAAUGACCAGGGCUUGCUCAUGUUGAAAAAUUGAGUAGAGCUGGUCAAUUGACGAAUCAAAUCAAUAAAUUGAGUGUUUUUUCCCCUCAAAUUGAGCAACGCUAAUCAAUUUGGAAUUUUGAAGAGGGCCUAGUCUAUACAUGAACUAUGCUGUCUCUCUCCCUUCUUUGCAAUCAUUAACAAACAUAUAUCGUUUGCCUUGAGAUUGGUUUUUUGCUUGAUAUUAGGAGGCAUAUAAUCCAUCUAACAUUGUUUAUUUUGAUUUUGGUUGAUAUUAGGUUUGAUGCCAUUAAAAAUCCCAAGCUGUUGCCUCAUGUCACAUUUAUUCCAACUAUCCUUAAAUUGAACUUGCAUAUAAAAAUACUGAGAAAUAGCUUUAAAUGAUAUGAACAAACAAGAGGAUUAGGUUAUUGUAAGCCGCUAAUGAAAGCGGUAAUCUAAUAGAUUAUCAGUACAAAGGCAAAGGGCCUAUCAUCAAGUACUUGCAUUUUAUCAAGGUUUAGUUUAUGAGAUACAACUUCAAUUUGGACACAAAAGAUUUAAGAGUUGAUGUAUCAUAAUGACCUAUAAGGAUAUUCAAUGUGCUGAACAUUCAAUAUCCAAUGCUAAUUAUACACGAAAAGAUAUAUUCUAUUAAUUGUGAUUGUGCAAAAUGAGCCUCAUUUAAUAUACUUUAUCCAAUUCGCCAUAUAGUAGCAGAAGUAAAUUUUAUAAGCUCUUUUUUUUUUUUUUUUGGUUAGUCCUACUCUAUUCCUACUCUACACUCACUCUCAUCACUCUCAGACUUUUGCCCUGCCUCUUGCAGGGUGUGGGAGUCAAAACCCACUCCUGAAACUUACGCGUCUCCACCCCAUCCCCCCUGAGAAGGUGGGGAUUUGAACCCCUCACAUUCCCCUUUCAUGUUGAAAUGAUGGCCACUGGAGCGAAUCCCAGUGGUUAAUUUUAUAAGCUCUAAACGGCCAUAAAUAGUGGGUUUACCCGAAGGUGUUUGGUGUGAUAAACAAGUUGUCUUCUAGACAUUUCCUAUCAAUAGUAAAGCUUCUCCCAAUUUUCUCUAGUAAUAUUUGUUUUACUAGCCUUCUCUUGUUUUUUCGAUCCUCAAUAACUUUUAAUUGCAAUUUCUCCAAGACGAGCUUAUGUAGAAUGGCUCAUGGAAUUAAAAAUUUACAUGAGGUUUGCACCGACAGUGGACCUCAUAACAAUCAUUUUUUGUUGGUAAUAUUAUUAUCUCAUCUUAUUAUUAAUGUUUGACAUCAGUGUUUCUGAACUUGCAUCAAGUAAAAAAAUAUAUUAUUUUCUGGGAAGAGAGGGGGGAGAAUACAUUGAAAACGAGAAUAUUUGGAAGGGCAAUAAAUAAAGGAGGAUUUAAUUUUAGAGUAAACUCAGCUAAAGUUCACAAAAAGCUAUCAUUAUGACAGAUAAUAAACAUAAGAAAUAUCUCGUGUGCACAUGUUACAUUCAAACGUUCUCUUUCCUCGAGAUUGGCAAUAAUUCCAAAAGAAAGAACAAUACAAUUAAACAAUUUUAGAUAGGGUACGAAAUCCACUAACGAUAUUGCAAAUAUAAUCUCAUGACCUUAAACCCACCAUUUAUUUGAGGAUUCCAAAUCUCUAAGAUUGGAAUAUAGCCUAUGUUCUUUAUUGCCACCUUAAAACCAUAUAUUUUGCUAGUCAUGUUCCACAUAGGAAUGUAUUUUGUACAUCAGAUCGGAUGCAUCACUUAACAAUGACUUGUGGAGGAAUGAGUCAAUCUCAGGCGAGAGAUUUAAAUAUGCAAAUANNNNNNNNNNNNNNNNNNNNNNNNNNNNNNNNNNNNNNNNNNNNNNNNNNNNNNNNNNNNNNNNNNNNNNNNNNNNNNNNNNNNNNNNNNNNNNNNNNNNAAAUAAUGAACAUAUACAGAUGAAGCAAAGCUUGGCACUAUCAAGCAGGUCUCAAAGCUUACAGCAAUACCAUGAAGGCGGUUACCACCGCAUAGAAGCCAUGACUCGCCAUCUUUCGGUCAAUUCUAUCCAAAUCAAUAGAUAAAUUGUUACCUUUUACUCCACUUUUUCCUUCAACAAAUGCCCGCCUAGCAGAAGAGGCACAUGGCAGGUAUAGGUUAGGACUUCUCGAAGAAGGGUGGAGUCAAAGAGCUUCAGUCAGAAAGCCCACAUGCAUUGCUUCUCACACUGAUGUCUGCAGCUUCAAGUAUUAGAGGCCCACCCACAGCAGCAACUCAAGUAUAACCAUCACAAACUCUUGAACAAACAGUCAUUCUGAAUCAGAGAUUCUUCUUCUUACUCGUCCAGUAUGCAGAUCAGGGCUUUCUUUCUUGCAGCUAAAACAGAAGCCACACCUCUACUUGCUGUUGCCAAAAAAAAGUCAACUUGAUUUCAGUCCAGUGUUCCUUAGAUAUAUGGCCAUAACUAACGUGAUGUUCAGAUACCUUUGUUGGGUAAAUGUAAAAGUACAACACAUGAAUUAUGCUAAAACACAGGCGGGAGGCAAACCUUGUGUGCCUAAAGAGGCUAUGGCAUGCAUAUAACUAUAAAUGCUCUACAGUAUCUUGCUAUACUAGAUACCAUGAUAGUAUCUAUCAUCAUGAACUUGUAGAUAGUGGUUCUCAGUCCGUAACUCAAGACUGUUAUGCACCAAUUAUAAGAGAGAGAUUAUUCUUUCUGUAUUUGUCUGGCAAUUAUAGAUUCGUCCUUUUCACACUUUGUCCUCUCAAUUGAUUUAAGGGGAAACCUAAUACUCCAGCAUUUUACUUCUUCGACAGAAAAAUAUUCUUCUUUGGAACAUGCUUUUGCACUUCUUCAAUCUGCAGGAACAAACAUGAGGUGGUCUAUUAAAGAGGCACAAUGUACCUAUGCCAAUCACAUUUAAACUUAAGAGUAGGUUCUCAGCGGAAAUGUAGUAAGGAGCAUGGACAGGAUUAAUUCAGUUCCACUACCCAGCCAACGAGACAAACUGUUACUGACACUGGCAAGUUUAUCAAACAUUGAUACACAAAGGAAAGAGUAGGGCAACAAUAAGUUUCCAGACAUCCACAACUGCAAAUGGACAUGUUAAGAAGCUCAAAGAAAAAAAUCUUCAGAACUAUACAAUUGAUGGCAUCACAAUGAAUUGAUCCUUAGCCCGAUAGUAUGACAGCAUCAAAAUGUUCUUACCACUAACUGACAAGGGAGGAACUACAGCAUGGGGAAUGCUGCAAAGCUUCUCAUUCUCCGUCUCCACAACUGCACUCACCCCUAUUAAAAAAUGGAUAAUUAUCUUUCCAAUUGGCCAAAAAAAAAAAAAAAAAAGAAGAAGAAGAAGAAGAAGAAGGUAAAUAUAACAAGAGAUGUUUUAGUAGACCAGACAUAAGUUUUCAAAAAACCUUCCACAAACCCAUAUUGAAGCUGUUGAAUAAAAUCCUAAGUUUGAGAAAAGAAAUAUUUUAGUAGACCAGACUAAUAUAACUACUUAACUGCAAACAAAGCAUUAGACAGAACAUGAAAGGUAUGAACAAUAAAAUAUUGUCUGUUCAGAAUCAAGAUUGAGAAGUUAGAUGAACUUUUUUCAGUUGAAAGAUGCAUACUCUAUUCACUUGGGCAUCCUCCUCCCAAUUGAGACACACCCCAGCUGCCGCAUGGGACUUAAGCUUCUUAACAGUUUUCCAUUCUGCUUAAUAUUUAUACCGAGUUAAAAAAAAAUAUACCACAGUACGUAUAACUGCUGCAAGCACUAGCAUGUAACAAGCAGCACGAUGCAUAUCCACGGUUCCAUAAAGACGGCUAGAUUGGUAAGAUAACAUUCAUAUGUAAAAAUAAGAUCUUCAAAGCAAAACAUAAUCCAUGAAGUGGAUAAUGAUUAGUAAAUUGGUAAGACAUCACAAAGAAACUUUAUGGCAGCAGCAUCAGCCAAGUUCUGAGCAAUUGUACCCACAACCAAACAGCUAGCUUAAUGAAUAACUGGUAAUCUACAAACUUUUCCACCCACAAGCAUAUUUAAGGCACAUACAAAUUCUAUCAUUUAGGAGUCUUCCGAACUAUUACCUUCCUAAUAUGACCGAACUGGACAUGUGUCGCUUUAAAUAAUAGAAAGAAACUAAUAAUUUGAUGAAAAUGAGCGUGCCAUGGAUGACUGCUUCUAUAUGCUGUCUCAGUCAUCUUUGGAUAGGAAUGAACGAUUCAAUCUAAUUAGUUAAAUGGGUAUUUAUAAGAUAUCAUGAUAUCAUCUAAACCGAGCACUUUGUAAGUUUACGGCUAUUCUUCUUAAAAAUUAUAUGACAUUGACGAAGAUAUGCAUAUUGCAUGUAUUGUACAAGUAAUAAAUGCUGCGCCGGUCAUGUUUGGAUUGGAAUGAACCAUUCACUUUAAUUAGUUAAAUGGGCUAUUCAUCUCUUGUCGUUUUUAGACCUAUUUAACAAAGGGGGCAUGAUCGAAAAGAGUGUUCUAAUAAGAUCUGUUAAGGCUUUUGUGCUUAGAUUGACCUAACUAGCAGUCCACUGUUCAUUUGACAUUGGCAGACAGGACCUGUAAACAUGGAUUGCCACCUAUAUUAGCAGCUAAAUGUGUGUUGAGCAAGCUUGCUGUUUGCAAUGCAUCAUGCGACUUUUGAGCAAUUCAGAAUCUUUCCCACAAAGAUUAGAGAAGACACAUUCUGAAGAUAAGGGAUUCGUGCAGUGAAACUGUGCCAUCUUCUAGUCCCAAGACAACUACUUUGCCAUCAGGAUGCCAGCAUAAUGAUGUUAUACAUUUACCUGGAGUACAUUUGAAUAGUUAGAUAAUCUAGUAUAAUGACAUACAAUGGAAUGUGCCACGAAAAGUGAUUUCAUAGACUACCACAACAACUUGACAACAAGAACACAGAGAGAGAGAGAGAGAGAGGGGAGAGAGAGAGACAGACAGAGAGGAUGAAUAAUUUGUUCACCAUAAAACUAAUAGACUAAGAGGAAAGACAGAGAACACACAUAAACCGAGAAAAUGAUAAUCAAAAUUUGGGAAGUAAGGCAAACAUCAUAACAGUACACAUUAUAUCUGACAGGGAUAUUGGUAGCUUGACAUGGGAUUUCUUUGGGCUAGUAGAUCAUCUAAAGCUAGGGAAUCUACAUCUUUUUGGCAGCCUUCAAUCCAUUAUCUCAAUCCAGGAACAAAUCUUAUUGUUCAGCUUUGGAACCUUGAGGUGGAGCGUAACCAUGAAAGCAUACGUCAAGCAAGGAUCACAGGUGUACAAGUAUCUACAACUUAUCUAAACAGAAACCACUCAAGGAUUGGUUCAUGAAGCACUCAACAACAUGUUUUUCAUAUCAAGAAGGCAACAUGAUGCAUGCGGCAUUCAGAUGUUUCUGGAGAAAAUAUACCUCCUCUCUAAAUUUUUCCAGUGAGAAUAGAUUACAAAAACUACCAAGGCUAGGCAUCUGUCGCGACCUCUUUUUUUUUUUUCAGGCGCCCGCGAUCGGGUACGGGCGCCUAAGGGAGGCUAAUGGCUCGACUGAAUUUAUUAAAGCCCGGACUCUCCCAAGUCCACCAAUUCACGACUUAAUAGUCCAAGUUUUUAACCUGUAAGUCAAUUUUAAAACGGAGUCGCCACUAAUCAGUUUGGGGUGGGUUGAUUAGAAACCCAAGCGAAAUAUCGGGAGAAAUACUCGCUCCUGCGUAACCAGAGAAAUUAGGAUCGGGGACUUGAUUACACUAGUUAAUCACUAAUGCCCUUUCGGUACCUAAUCUUGUUUAAACCCUAAGGCUUUUUGGAUUUUUGAGGGAUUUUUCAUGCAUUUUUUUUAGAGGAAAAACAUUUUUUUUUAGUCUUUUUUCUAAUUUUUUGACAUAAAAAGCAUUUUUUGGAUUUUUGAUCUUUUUCUGAAAAUAUAAAUCAUUUUUUGGCUUUUUCUGAAUUUUUUGGUUUUUUUGGGAAAAUAUGGACAUUUUCGAUUUUUUUGAUUUUUUAGAAAAUAAAUUAUUUUUUUAUUAAAAUAUUAUAUUAUUUUAUAUUAAAAUAAUAAAAACGAACCGGGUCGGAUCCAGGGUUGGGUCCGACCCGGGCUGUUCGCCCAGAACGCAAACGGGCCUGCAACACAGGCCCGACUCAUUUUUUUUCUUUUUUAAGCGUAAAAGCCCAAAACCUAUUUUUUUUGGCCCACUUCACAAAAAUUCUAGCCCAACACAACCCAGCCCACGCGUGCAGGCCUGACCCGGGGAAACCCUACCCCUACGCCAACCCGGAUCCGCCCGACUUCGACCCGGUUCACAGCCGCGACCCGGAUCAUGGAACCCUACCCGGCCGCGACCCGCUUCUGACCCAACUCGCAGCCGCCCCUCGAAACCCUACCCGGACAGUGGCCCGGAUCCGACCAGGCAUCCCUUUCGUGAGGUAGGUUGCCAGGAGUCAUAGGGCUCGACGAUUUGCGGCGCCGGAGAGGGGUUGUCGAGACAUCGCCGGAGGACUCAACGGCCUCGACAUGACGAUCAGCGACUAGGCUUUCAGGGGAAAAGAGGCGACGACGAUGGCGGCCGCUGGUUGGUAGGAGAAAGCGGCGGCAACAACGAUGGACGAUUGCUGGGUUUUCAGGGGAGGGCAGAGGGACAGCGACCAGAGCAGAGCCAACACGGCGGUUACCUGCUCGCAACAAGGGCACGACACGGCGGCCGCGGUGGUGACAAGGUGAGCAACAGCGACGGCGGCCCCUUAGAUCUCAGACGGCGUCGGGAUGGUGUUUGGGGCGGCGUUGGAGCUGAAUCGACGGCGGAUCUGAGCCUCGACCGUCUCUUGCACUUGAUUUCUCCUCUCUCUGCAAGCUCGCUUGCCUGCGGCCUCCCCCGAUGUCUCUCGGUGGGAGGCCGUUUAAGCUCACGACCUGCCUCCGGCGGGCCUCAGAUCUUCGGCCGCGCGUCCUCGGACCCCCCUGAAGUCUCUCAGUGGGGAACCCGAAGUCUGCGGCCUUAGAUCCGACUCCCUCUCUCUCUCUGUUCGUCUCUCCGGCAGAAGCUCUCUUUCUCCGGCCGCGAGCCUUCGGAUCUAGGCUUGCUCGACCUCGGCUCCCCUUCUGAAGUCUCUCAGCAGGAAGCUCGAAGCUUUGCAGCCUUCGAUCACUCUCGGCCUCUUGGCUUGCUCUUUGAUUUCCCCCUUGAAGUCUCUCAAAGGGAAGAUCUCGGAGCUCGCUGUGUGUCCUUCGACGGAGGUGGUGCCUCGCUAUUUAUAGGCGAGGGGGCGGCCGGUCGACGGGGCUUCGACCGCUGGUCUUCGCAUGCCGAACGGACGCCCGCGGCCGAACCGGUGUCUCGUCUCAGCAUUAAAGGCGCGCAUUGAAGGCGCAUGCGCGUUGUCCUCUCCUCCGGCGGCCUACCUCCAUUCCUCUUUACCGUAGGUUGCCCUUGAGCGCGUCGCCGGCCGCCGCGCGUGAUGCACAGAGGCACACAGAAGAAGAAGGAAGGAGAAGGAAGAAGGAGGGGGAAGGGUUAGGUUGUGCGGGCCGGGCCGAGAAAAAAAGAAAGAAAAUGAGCCUAGGGGCCCACGCGAAAGGGAAAAAGGGGGCUGGGCCUAUUUUUUUGUUUUCUUUUGUUUUAUUGAUUUUUGUGUGUUUUGUUUGUUAUUUAUUAUUUAUUAUCUAGAAAAAGGAAAAAUAAAAGAAAUUAAGGCGUUAAUUAAUAACCUAAUCAAAAUUUAGGUGUCAACAGCUGCCCCUCUUUGAAGGUGAGUUCGCAGAGGUUGCAUUCAAAGAUAAACCUGAUACCUAAAUUUUGUCUAUACAUAUGCAAUAGAUUAUAUGAUAUUUAGGACCUAGUGUCCUAUGCAGAAAAUGAGCAAUAUAACAUUGCAUAUACUAAGACAGAUAAGAAGAUACCUGUAGUUACUUACCGGGAGUGAGUGAGAUAGGGUGUGAACCCCGAGUUUUGGCAAGUAUCAAGGCGUCAUCUUACCUGUUGCAUGAGGAGAUUGCUUCUCUAGGACCCGAACCAUUCUUCGGUCGCCUAUUGGAGCAAUAAGUGGUUUGUCUAGGACCCGAACAUUUCUUCGGUCGCCUUGACGGGGAAUUGCUUUUCCAGGACCCGAACCUUUCUUCGGUCGCCUGUUAGAGCAAUAAGUUGUUUGUCUAGGACCCGAACCUUUCUUCGGUCGCCUUGACGGGGAAUUGCCUUCCCAGGACCCGAACAUUUCUUCGGUCGCCUGUUAGAGCAAUAAGUUGGUUUGUCUAGGACCCGAACCUUUCUUCGGUCGCCUUGACGGGGAAUUGCUUUUCCAGGACCCGAACCUUUCUUCAGUCGCCUGUUAGAGCAAUAAGUUGUUUGUCUAGGACACGAACCUUUCUUCGGUCGCCUUGACGGGGAAUUGCUUUUCCAGGACCCGAACCUUUCUUCGGUCGCUGUAGAGCAAUAANNNNNNNNNNNNNNNNNNNNNNNNNNNNNNNNNNNNNNNNNNNNNNNNNNNNNNNNNNNNNNNNNNNNNNNNNNNNNNNNNNNNNNNNNNNNNNNNNNNNNNNNNNNNNNNNNNNNNNNNNNNNNNNNNNNNNNNNNNNNNNNNNNNNNNNNNNNNNNNNNNNNNNNNNNNNNNNNNNNNNNNNNNNNNNNNNNNNNNNNNNNNNNNNNNNNNNNNNNNNNNNNNNNNNNNNNGGAGAUAGUACUUGGACGAUCACAAGUACAAACUCUUAGGGGAUACUUGGAUGAUCACAAGUAUCGAAGGGGUACCUGGACGAUCACAGGUACAAACUCUUUGGGGAUACCUGGAUGAUCACAAGUAUCGAAGGGGUACUGGACGAUCACAGGUACAAACUCUUGGGGGAUACUUGGAUGAUCACAAGUAUCGAAGGGGUACCUGGACGAUCAUAGGUACAAACUCUUUGGGGAUACCUGGAUGAUCACAAGUAUCGAAGGGGUACCUGGACGAUCACAUGUACAAACUCUUGGGGGAUACUUGGAUGAUCACAAGUAUCGAAGGGGUACCUGGACGAUCACAGGUACAAACUCUUUGGGGAUACCUGGAUGAUCACAAGUAUCGAAGGGGUACCUGGACGAUCACAGGUACAAACUCUUGGGGAUACUUGGAUGAUCACAAGCAUCGAAGGGGUACCUGGACGAUCACAGGUACAAACUCUUUGGGGAUACUUGGAUGAUCACAAGCAUCGAAGGGGUACCUGGACGAUCACAAGUACAAACUCUUGGGGAUACUUGGAUGAUCACAAGCAUCGAAGGGGUACCUGGACGAUCAUAGGUACAAACUCUUGGGGAUACUUGGAUGAUCACAAGCAUUGAAGGGGUACCUGGACGAUCACAGGUACAAACUCUUUGGGGAUACUUGGAUGAUCACAAGCAUCGAAGGGGUACCUGGACGAUCACAGGUACAAACUCUUGGGGAUACUUGGAUGAUCACAAGCAUCGAAGGGGUACCUGGACGAUCACAGGUACAAACUCUUGGGGAUACUUGGAUGAUCACAAGCAUCGAAAGGGUACCUGGACGAUCACAGGUACAAACUCUUUGUACAUGGAAUAUCGAGGACAUACCUUGGAUAUUCAUGUGGAAAUAUCGAUGAUGGGUCUUGCAUAUACGUGAAAGUCUCUCACCUGCUGGUAGUGGGAAUAUCGAGGACGUACCUUGGAUAUUCAUGAAGGUCUCUCAACUCCUGGCAAUUGGGAAUAUCGAGGACGUACCUUGGAUAUUCAUGAAGGUCUCUCACCUCCUGGCAAUUGGGAAUAUCGAGGGCGUACCUGAGAUAUUCAUGAAGUUUUCUCACCUUCUGGUAACAUAAACUUGAAUGUAGCACGAGGCUUACCUGGAUGGCCACAUGCACUUAAAAGGGGUGGAACACCUGGGUAGGCGCAGGCACACAAAGCAGUGGAAUGCUUGAACAGCUGCUAUUAUUUGGAGACAACUUGGGCAAGUUGAGUGUCAUGAAAAGAAAGUACCUGGACAACGGUGGGUACUUGACGAUAUGAGGAUACCUAGACAACAGUAGGUAUUCCAAGAGAUACUUGGUCAGUCGCAAGUAUCAAUACUCUGGAGACAACUCGAAUAGGUCGAGUGUCAGGAAAAGGGAGUAUCCGAACGGUGGCCGGUACUCAAAGACAAAGGAUACCUAGACAGCAGUAGGCAUUCAACGAUAAAAGGAUACUUGGUCAGUCACAAGUAUCAAUACUCUGGGGACAACUCGAAUAGGUCGAGUGUCAGGAAAGAGGAGUAUCCGGACGAUGGCCAGUACUCAAAGACAAUGGGAUGCUAAGACAGUUGCAAGCAUCGAAACUCAAGGGACAAUUCGAAUAGGUCGAGUGUCAAGAAGAGAGUACCUAGACAGUGGUAGGUAUUCAACGAUAAAGGGAUACUUGGUCAGUCACAAGUAUCAAUACUCUGAGGACAACUCGGACAGGUCGAGUGUCAUGAAGAGGGAGUACCCGGCAAGUGGUGAGUACUCAAAGACAAUGGGAUACUGAGACAAUUUGUAAGCACCCAAACUCAAGGGACGACUCGAAUAGGUCGAGUGUCAAGAAGAGAGUACCUGGACAGUGAUAGGUACUUUAAGACAAAUGGGGACAGGGAUAUGCUUACCUGGCAAUAUCUUUGAUCUCUAAGAGUAUAUCUGCUAUUUGUACAAUAUGCACACAUGAUUGUACAUGCUGAAAAUUCAUGAGUUCAAAUGGGAUUAAUGCUUGAUAAUUUUGUCAGCUUUGCAUCAUCUGAUUUCCACUGGGGAAGAUUUUGAAAGACAACCUUCAUUUAGAAUGUAGAUGUCUUGAGCAUGCUCGAUGAGGGACUUUCAGUCUGAAAGGACUUUCCACUCUCUCUCAUGGAAAAGGCUAUCCUGACCAUUGAUGCAGGAUUUAUAAGGACCACACUUCUCACUGUCAUCAUGUCAGCAGGGGUUUGAGUAUUCUCGUAAGUGGUACGACUUUACCAAUGUGAGACGUCUUUGUUGAAAUUGUGAUGAAGACUUAAUCAAUGGCUCAUCAAAUGGGACCGUCGAGGUCAAGGCUCAUGAACGAAGUGCCGCACGAUCAUCUCCGGGUUUGCAAGUCGAGAAUCCUGCGAAAAGAGAUAGAGUAAUCUUGCUCGUACUUCUUCGAGCAAUGCUUAUGCACAUAUGAAAUCCUACAUUAAUUGAAGUGCCCCUAGUCUGAAGAGACUUUUACAAUGGGAUGCAAUGUAGACUUGAUUCAUGUGUAAAAAGGUGACAGCUGGUGAUUGUCUUGGCAUUUGUCACCAGUCUUUCUUCUUACUAUCAAAUGGAGGUUCUAUGGACCACAACAGCAACAUUUUCUUGGUUGCAUUUUUGACUGGGGGACAUUGGCCUUGCUUUUACCAGGCACACUGCUUUUUUCAUGCCCCUAUUUUUAUUCCAGUUUUUCAUUUAUGAGCAUUGACCUUGCUUUUACCAGGUACACUGCUUUUUUUAUGCCCAUGUUUUUUCAUUCUUGUUGCUUGAGAGUUGAUCUUGACAAGUUCAAGCAAACGCCUUUGUUAGACUAUUGAGUCUUCAUUUUUUGCUGGCACUUCUGAUUAUGCUGCUCAAAUGGCAGUAGCUUCUGCUUUGCCUUCAUGUGAGGGUGAAAUUACAGACUCAAUUGGGUUGUACAAUGAAUACAAGUGCAUAGAGAAAGAAUUGCUCUUCGUCAUUCUAGGGCACUUAAAUUAACGUGAGUGUUCAUAUGUAAUAAGAACACCCGAAGAUUGAUGCAAGUGCGAGCAAGAAAAUUUCUAUCUCUCUUCUCACCUUGUGAUGCUGCUUUGCCUCCGAUCUGCCCCAGUGUGGGGUGGUUCUUGAUGGGGGUAUGGGAGAAACUUCACCAGUGUAAGGAGCUCAAAGGGGUGAGCAAUGAAAUGCCUCUCACUGUUUUGGUUAUCGUACCAUUCGCGAGAGAACUCUUUACCCUGUAGUCAUGGAAUCUUCUGCACUCAUCUCACAAGUGUAUAGAUGGGGGGAUUGUGUGUAGGAUAUAGCUUGCCUGUCGUCAUUCUGACGCGCCUCAUCCAGCAUGCUCAAUCAAUCUUGUAUUCUUCACUUAGCUGUCUAUUCUAAUAAUCCUCAGUGAAAUUAGUGACUUAGACAGACAAAAUCAUCAUGCAGAAUUCAUCUGGAAGUGACAUGCAACAUUUUGAAUAUGAUGGAGUUUGAACUCUUCAAAACAAGUGAAUGGUUUUGACUCAAAAAAGACCCUAUUGACAACUUUAGGGGCUAACAUAGUGGUGUUUCCAAGUAUGUUAGAUUUUGAACAUCAAAAGGGUUAUUUACAAAUGGGUGUCGAUGGUUGUCCCUAUUGAUUAGGGAUAUGACACAUAAAUGAUCAGUCGGGGUUGGGGAUCUGAUCGGGCAUCUCUGCUUUUGCCCCUGCAGAAGAGAAGAUGUACAAGUAGAUCAAUUAGUCUGGCCAAAAUCAAAUGUGGGUUGAGGCCUGAAGAUUUUCUGUCUUUUGCUUUGGCGAUUACUCAGGACGCCUUUUCGCUUAGGGGAGUUUGUCAUGCCUCUCAUUGAUUUAUUAUCUUUGUUUUUGACAGUCAGGUAACCUGCAACAAACAAGACAUGCUUCUCAUUGAUUCGUUAUCCUUGCUUUUGACAGUAAGGUGAUCCUGCAACAAACAAGAGGAAAUGUGUUAGUCAUGAACUCUUUCAAGAGUUGAAUAACUGGAAGCGAUACAACUUUACCCUUCACUGGUUUGCAGAUGAUUGGAAGGACCUGAAGUGAGAUGGGGACACGAAGUCCUAUGUCCCUUGCUUUGUUAGGUCACCUGUUCUCUCGUAAUUUGCAAGUGCAAGAGAAGCAAAAUUUUUUUUAUUAUUUUUUUACCAAGCGGCUAACUGCCGCGUCGGGGAUUCAAACCCCCGACUUCGGACCUUUUUGCUUCUUCCCGGAUACCACUCGGCUAGAGGCGCCGACGGUGUCCGUAGGCCGCUGCAUUUUUUAUUUAACCGGACCGGCUCCAGGACGACACGUCCUUUUAUACCAAGUUAGGUAAAUCGAUAUGGGUCACUUGAUUUGUCCAAAUUAACCUUUAAGCUUGUUUCUUGAAUCCUAUACUUCCUGUCAAUAGGAGAAAACAUGUCAAAAGUGAGUUCAGACACUGGGAGUAUUGGAAACGAUACCAAAUUACUCUUCUCCAAAGUUUGUAUUUGCUGACUCCUAGGGAUAUUUGAAUGUCGAUGACAGCCUUUUUGUCUUGGCACAAUUUGACAUUUCUUUCGAUUGGCCUUCCUCACUUAUGGCCAUGUAUGUAUGAUUGAUGGUUGUCGAUUUAUCUUCAACGCCUUCCUUCUGUGGAAUUUUUCUUCUGUCUUUGACUAUAUGACCAUUAACAGCAUUGAGCAAAGUCAUGUACUUCAAGCUUCUAUGGAAUCUGAGAUAAAAAAUCUCAAGCUUUCUGAUGGCAAUUACUCCUUGGAAGAAUAUGCGUCUUGAGUGAAGUUUCUAGAUUCCAAAGUCAUUGUCCAGGGUGUGGGGCUAUAGAUCGCUUUGACUGUCUAGAUUUUCUCCCUGUUGACAGUAGUCACUUUAAAGGAAGAGAAGCAAUUCCUUCUUUGUGCUUCUUGGCUCGUUGAAGCUGGAAGUCCCGCCAAUGAACUUGCGACAUCCUGCCAUGAGCUAUCAUGCUAUGCAUGCUUCAAGUUUGAUAAUAUGUCUGUGCCUAUUACGUCCCAUCCUUCGUCUCCUGUAGAUGGAAGAGAGAGGAUGUCAUUUUCGACAUUAUGUUCAGGGAAUAGGACUUACCAUUUUGAAACGUGAUGCUCCUUUCUGUUUGCCCCUGCUUUCUUAAAAAGGUGUUCUCGAGUUUGGUCUGUUCACACGAUGUGGCAGUUUCAACUGCCUUCUGUCACACUAAAUCAAAAGGGGAUGCUAUGAAGUGAGAAAGUUAAAGAGACAAACAUGCUCAAAUUCAUCAUCUUAUUUUGACAAAAGCUUUUGGUGAUGAAAUAUUUUUCAUUUUCAAAAUAUUUUUUGGGGAGAAAAAGCAUGAGGAAGCCCGGCCCUCAAUAUUUCUCCUUGGAUGAUGUUUUUUUUCAUGGUUGGAUAACAUCACUGGGCUGGUUUGGGGUACCGCCUCAUGCUCUCAAAAUAUUUUCAACUUUAUUUAAUAUGUGGAUUUACAUUUUGGAAGAGUGAUUUCAAAAGUUAGUUCCUCAAGCGGAACUGAUGUUGAAAAUAAAACAAGCCAGACUUAAGAAAAAUGUACAAGUUCCCACGUAGGGGAGUACGCAAAGAAAUUAAAAAGGGUUCUACUUGAGCGAGCCUGCACCCAUUUCCCCUAACGGUCCUUCGUUGAUGGCGCCCAUGAAAAGGUCUCCAAACAUGGUGGUCGUGUCAUCUGGCCCUUCUUUUUUUUGUUGUUGCUAAGGGUGGAACUUUAUUACCUGAAUAAUACUCGGCCUCUACCAGCCCUUGAUAGAUGUCAACGGUAUGUGUUUCAACAUUUAUGCUCUGACUAUCCUCAGAACUGAAUACCGUGUUUACUUUGUCGGUGUGAUUAGGGAGCGGAUUGCUCUGGAAUGAGAAAGCUUUAGUGUCUAACAGGUUUUGGAUUCGACUUUUGAGAGCGAAGCACUCAUCAGUCGAGUGCCCCACUUCUCCCCUGUGAUAGUCGCAUUUUUUGGAUGGAUCAUAGCUGGAGAAGCUUUCUGUGUUUGGUCGCUUUGGCUCAGUUGAGAGGAGGUUCUUAUUCUGGAGGACUACCAAAACCUGUGAUGGAGAUCCGGGAAGUGGAGUAAAUUGUCUCCUGCUGCUGUAACGCUGGGAUGGCUGACGUUUGGUGAUCUGUUGUUGUCCUGCCCUUGUCUGAAUUGUUGAAGGAUGAUUACAGGUCGCAUUGACAUUUACUAGGGGUUCUUUGUCUUUCUUCAUGCUGAGUCUACCCGUGGGUGCAGAUUCAGUGAACCAACCAUCCCUCAACCCUAUCUUGAUUUGCUCUUCUACUGGAAGGAGUUGAUCGAUCGUGGUUACCAUUCGAUUGCGGUACUCAUAAGGGAGGGUUUUGAUAAACAUUUUUCUCAGUUCGAAAUCGGUUGGUUCGGGACUAAUUUGGGUGGCUAGAUUUCUCCGCCCAAUGGCAUACUCUUUGAAUGAUUCAUACUUUUUCUUCUCGGUACGCUCAAGAUCCUCGCGAGAAGAGGUAAUAUCCAUUAUGAACUCAUACUGCUUGAGGAAUGCCUCACUCACUUCGCUCCAUGUUUCGAGGAGGCUUAUGUUCUUUGUGAUGUACCACCUCAGGGCAGGACCUACUAGACUUGAUUGGAACAACUGGAUCAUCAAGGGUGCAGUAUUGGCGUGUUGGGCCAUCCAAACUAAGUACAUUUGCAAAUGAGUCAUUGGGCAAGUUGUGCCGUCAUACUUUUCAAAUUCAGGUAUUUUGAAUUUUUCUAGCAUUGUGACUUUGGAAUAAAUGGAGAGGUCCGUCGAAGUAGGAUCUUUGAGGCAUUGCAGUUGUUUCAGUCUCUCCUCAAGCUUUUCGAGACGUUUGUCAUGCUCAGCUUUAGACAAAUUGUCUGGCUUAGCUUUCUCAAUCGCGGUUUGGUGUGGAUCAUUCUCCAAUUCGGGUAUGUUAUCGUUGGUAUCUCCACCUUGAUCACCCAUGGUAGAUGAUUGUGGCAAGAAUACCUCGAUUGAGGCCGGGGCAGGAGUAAGUUUGCUUUGGAUGGAGUCUAUCUGCUUUGAGAGUUGUUGAAGCAUAUUAAAGACUUGCUUCAUUUUGCUUUCUACAACCGCAAUACGGCUUGGUACAUUUUCUUCGGCCAUUCUUGCUCUUGCUUUUGAACGAGUCUGGAUCGGCGAACGUUGACGUUCCGUGAUUACCUAGUCAUGAGUAAACAAGCGUGUGUGAAUACAAGGCGUAAAUAGGGAGUCAGUCCAUGAUGACAACCUAAUCCUACUAUUUUUGUUUAUUCAUGAAAAAGUAGAGGAUUUCCUAAACAUGGAUUGAAAAAGGGCACGCUACAUGCUAACAUGAGCUAAAAAGAUAUUCAAUUUGAAAGGCGAAGAAAGCAUGAGUUGCAACAAAUUUUGAAAAAGGUUUCUAUCCCUUCUUCUUUUUUUUUUUUUUUUUUUUUUAGGCAAAUGAAAAUUCUUGCUGAAAAGAAUUUUGUAACAUGCUUGAGAAUAAAAACAUCAACUGAAAGUAAUUUUUUGCAAAUUUUUUUAAAAACUUAAAAAAAAAACUUUAUGACAAUUACUUUCAAACUUAGAUGGCCGCGAUAUUAAAUCCUACACUAAUCAUGGACUACUCAAUAUAUACAGGAAGGUAAGUAAAUUGCAAAGUACACGAAAUAAGAACUUACUUCACACGAGAAAAUUGAUGGCAAUCACAUAGACAUGCGCAUGAUAUGUGCGGCUCGAUUUCUAACUGAGAAGGAUUGGUGAGAUUAAAAGGAUAUCCGCUCGUCGCAGUCUCGCGUUAGCAGCAUACCCUCCUAACCUUGGCUAAGAAAUUCGGGGAAAAGAAAGGCAACCUCUACAUCGCAGUCUCGCGUUCGAGGUCGUAUCUUUCUUAACACCAUCCUAGAAAUCUUAUGGCGGCCCAGGUCCGGCGGCCGGGUUGUGUGUGCCAUGUGUAGUGCUAAAACAUUUAAGGAUGCACAAUAGUUUAUAAUCACAAAACAUUUUAUUUUAACAGAAUAAAAAAAAUUUUAAGCUAUUACCCUGCACAAAAGAAAAAACCCAAGUCAGUAAAGUAUUUAAACAAAGAUAAAAUGGCCUAAGUCCUCAAAGUCCCUAGUGGAGUCGCCAAGCUGUCGCGACCUCUUUUUUUUUUUCAGGCGACCGCGAUCGGGUACGGGCGCCUAAGGGAGGCUAAUGGCUCGGCUGAAUUUAUUAAAGCCCGGACUCUCCCAAAUCCACCAAUUCACGACUUAAUAGUCCAAGUUUUUAACCUGUAAGUCAAUUUUAAAACAGAGUCGCCACUAAUCAGUUUGUGGUGGGUUGAUUAGAAACCCAAGCGAAAUAUCGGGAGAAAUACUCGCUCCUGCGUAACCAGAGAAAUUAGGAUCGGGGACUUGAUUACACUAGUUAAUCACUAAUGCCCUUUCAGUACCUUAAUCUUGUUUAAACCCUAAGGCUUUUUGGAUUUUUGAGGGAUUUUUCAUGCAUUUUUUUUAGAGGAAAAACAUUUUUUUUUAGUCUUUUUUCUAAUUUUUUGACAUAAAAAGCAUUUUUUGGAUUUUUGAUCUUUUUCUGAAAAUAUAAAUCAUUUUUUGGCUUUUUCUGAAUUUUUUGGUUUUUUUGGGAAAAUAUGGACAUUUUCGAUUUUUUUGAUUUUUUAGAAAAUAAAUUAUUUUUUUUUAUUAAAAUAUUAUAUUAUUUUAUAUUAAAAUAAUAAAAACGAACCGGGUCGGAUCCAGGGUUGGGUCCGACCCGGGCUGUUCGCCCAGAACGCAAACGGGCCUGCAACGCAGGCCCGACUCAUUUUUUUUCUUUUUUAAGCGUAAAAGCCCAAAACCUAUUUUUUUGGCCCACUUCACAAAAAUUCUAGCCCAACACAACCCAGCCCACGCGUGCAGGCCUGACCCGGGGAAACCCUACCCCUACGCCAACCCGGAUCCGCCCGACUUCGACCCGGUUCACAGCCGCGACCCGGAUCAUGGAACCCUACCCGGCCGCGACCCGCUUCUGACCCAACUCGCAGCCGCCCCUCGAAACCCUACCCGGACAGUGGCCCGGAUCCGACCCGGCAUCCCUUUCGCGAGGUAGGUUGCCCGGAGUCCUAGGGCUCGACGAUUUGCGGCGCCGGAGAGGGGUUGUCGAGACAUCGCCGGAGGACUCAACGGUCGCGACAUGACGAUCAGCGACUAGGCUUUCAGGGGAAAAGAGGCGACGACGAUGGCGGCCGCUGGUUCGUCGGAGAAAGCGGCGGCAACAACGAUGGACGACUGCUGGGUUUUCAGGGGAGGGCAGAGCGACAGCGACCCGAGCAGAGCCAACACGGCGGUUACCUGCUCGCAACAAGGGCACGGCACGGCGGCCGCGGUGGUGACAAGGUGAGCAACAGCGACGGCGGCCCCUUAGAUCUCAGACGGCGUCGGGAUGGUGUUUGGGGCGGCGUUGGAGCUGAAUCGACGGCGGAUCUGAGCCUCGACCGUCUCUUGCACUUGAUUUCUCCUCUCUCUGCAAGCUCGCUUGCCCGCGGCCUCCCCCGAUGUCUCUCGGUGGGAGGCCGUUUAAGCUCACGACCUGCCUCCGGCGGGCCUCAGAUCUUCGGCCGCGCGUCCUCGGACCCCCCUGAAGUCUCUCAGUGGGGAACCCGAAGUCUGCGGCCUUAGAUCCGACUCCCUCUCUCUCUCUGUUCGUCUCUCCGGCAGAAGCUCUCUUUCUCCGGCCGCGAGCCUUCGGAUCUAGGCUUGCUCGACCUCGGCUCCCCUUCUGAAGUCUCUCAGUAGGAAGCUCGAAGCUUUGCAGCCUUCGAUCACUCUCAGCCUCUUGGCUUGCUCUUUGAUUUCCCCCUUGAAGUCUCUCAAAGGGAAGAUCUCGGAGCUCGCUGUGUGUCCUUCGACGGAGGUGGUGCCUCGCUAUUUAUAGGCGAGGGGGCGGCCGGUCGACGGGGCUUCGACCGCCGGUCUUCGCAUGCCGAACGGACGCCCGCGGCCGAACCGGUGUCUCGUCUCAGCAUUAAAGGCGCGCAUUGAAGGCACAUGCGCGUCGUCCUCUCCUCCGGUGGCCUACCUCCAUUCCUCUUUACCGUAGGUUGCCCUUGAGCGCGUCGCCGGCCGCCGCGCGUGAUGCACAGAGGCACAGAGAAGAAGAAGGAAGGAGAAGGAAGAAGGAGGGGGAAGGGUUAGGUUGUGCGGGCCGGGCCGAGAAAAAAAGAAAGAAAAUGAGCCUAGGGGCCCACGCGAAAGGAAAAAAGGGGGCUGGGCCUAUUUUUUUGUUUUCUUUUGUUUUUAUUGAUUUUUUUUGUUGUUUUUGUUAUUUAUUAUUUAUUAUCUAGAAAAAGGAAAAAUAAAAGAAAUUAAGGCUUAAUUAAUAACCUAAUCAAAAUUUAGGUGUCAACAGCAUCUGAUCCCAAGCUCUUACAAAUUUGAAUUGCCAAAGAUAAAGCCGUACAAGAACUUAACAUAAUUGGAUGCAGCUCCGCCUACCCUCCUAGUCUUUUAGCUUUCUCCAACUCCUCCCUCCAUGUAUACAUGUAUGCAGCAUAGCUUGAGAUAUAUCCUAUUCACAAGUAAUUUAAAAUUCCCAACAACAAACUUGAUUAAUCAAUAUGAUGUGACGAAAUGCCCCUUUGUAAUCAGAAGAAGAUACAUUAAUUUCAAGUAAUACAAAUUGUGCGAAAUUUUCCAGACUAGACUCUACAUUUUAACAAUACAGAAUGUGAGAAAUCCUUGUAGGGAAUGCUCAAUCUGUACAAGAAGAGGAAAAAGAGGAGCCAGAAGUAAUAUUACCCUCAAUUAGUAGAAGAAGAGGAAGAGCGGAGCCAAAAGUAAUAUUACAUCGUGAGAGUCACUAACAGAAAUUGAAGGAAAACUAUAUAGAUGCCCAAUGGCAUUGAGAUCAUAUUUUGCAGGGAUUAAACCUGCCAACUCCAAAGUGGGCAUCAAGCAUUUCUACAUUGGACAUAACCAGUCUAUCUAGCAUAAACGACAUCCCCUCCAAUUCUAGUUCUUUAUCUUCGUGAACACUUUGACUGGUGUACCGAAAAGGGCAAAAAGAUGGCAAUACAGGAGCAGGGUACACUUCUAGUUGGUCUAAACGAUUGUCAGUUAUGUUAUGGAAAUCUCCAAAGGCACCAAUCUUGUCUAGAAGUUAAUAGAAAUCUAUCGCGCCUGUAAAUUAAAAUCCCUUCAUUCAACUAGUAUCAGUUUGAGAUUCUUUAUUUGCAACUAUGUCAUCUCCAAAUUUUCCCUCCCAUUACCAUCAUUCACUCUUCAUUUUUGUGUAAAACAACGACUCUUAGUUUGUUCUCAUUUAGAAUUCCAAGCACUUAACCUCUAUAUUCACCAACUCUUCAUCAAAUGCAAUUUGAACUGGAUUGGCAAUUGAAGUGAUUUAUUUGGGGAAAAGGACCGUAGCACAUUUAACGAAAAGCAAAUGGGGAAUAAGGCCAACGUGCAUGCAGAGUCAGAGACUUGCAAUUGGGCAAAGAAAACGGUACACCUUGUACCUCUGCCGCAAGUGAUAAAACCUAAGCACAUUCAACAUUUGAAAGGCAAAAGAAUAAGACAGUUUACUCUUCCUUCCAAAUACAGUUUAAAACCCCAGCAAUUAUAUGCUUUGAGAACACUUUUGGUUCCCACCUAUGAGACAAAUUGAGUGACUAAAGCUUUUGAGUGUUGAAAUAGUAGAACUUAUAUACUAUUUCUAGUCAACAAUUGCUUUUUCGGUCUUUUAAAAAACAGGACACAACUACUUUUCAUUAAUAAUUUACUAUGAUCAUUGGAAUGAUGGUUAUGCACUACUGAGCAGGAAAAAGAAUGACCCUUAACCAGCUGCCUUUUGUUUGGUUCAUCAGUAGUUAUUCUGAAGGCACGAUGUGUAUUUGCACCAGUCAUGAUCAGGCAGAGUGGUGAAACGAUGUAAACCAGAUUCCUCGUGCUGAAGUUUGGAAUGAACUUCCUUAACUCGAGGAAGAGGGAACAAAGCCCUGAGUGCAGGUUCACCAACGAAGAGCAUCCAUAAAAGGAGCAGCGGUACUGCGAAAUGGCCGGCCAUCUCGCACAACCUCUUAGUCGCAUCGACUGAGAGAGGUCCUCGACACGGCGGUCGACAGCAAAGCGAAGCCACGAACUGAGCUCAGGCGCGCAACGGUCGAGAAAAUCGGCGUCGAUGUGGAACUUCCUCACCUUGGGCGACGCCUGGAGGAUCAAGAUGCCGUCCACGGUCGGGGAGGCGUUCCGCCAGGGGAAGGAGAAGACGAGGUCCGGGGGCGGCGGUCCAGACGGAUCGCCACCGCUUCGACAAAAAAGCACGUGCGGACAAUGCGUGCGAGCUCGAGAGGAGGAGGAGGUUGGCGAUCGCUUCUUCUUCGCCAUGUAGGGAUCGACGAUCGAACGGAGGAACCGGAAGGAGAGCCUUCCUCCGAUUUGAGGGUUCAUUUCACUCGCACUUAAGUUUCUGGCUUCCCGUACAGAGACACGUGUCGCUCGACGGAGUGGCAACCACUUUCCCGCGCAUUUUGAUACAUCUACGAGCCCAUGAUGAUGGGCCUCCCACGUCUUGAAUUGCCGAGUACCGAACCUUAAUUUCUUUAAUCCAAGCUUGUCCGACAUCUGAAAAAAUCAUCAUUCAUAUAAUAACUUGUAUAGUCAAUAUCUAACAUUUUGUCUGUUACCCGAGACAAAAAAACUGCUAACCAAAUCCAAUGCAAAACUUGGAGAUUUGAUCUUUUUGAAUAUUGAUUUUUUUUUUAUUUGGGUGGAAUAGGUUGAUUUGUCCUUCAUUAUUGAAAAAAUUAGAGGUAUUCGUUACAUUUCGAAAGUAGAAAACAAAUCAAAUCAAGCUGAAAAUGGCAUCUGCUUGGCUUCGGAAGAUACCAUGAAAAGAGGUCCAUACCAUAAAGGAAGAUUCUACUAGGCAAAAUUCCGAAUAUUGUUUGGUGCAGGUAAAGUACGAAUAGCAUUGGUAAAUAUCAAAACCAGUUGGCAACUAAAUUUUGACCAAUAACUUAUUCGGUUAGUAGCAUUUUGGUAAGUUACCAAAUUUUUUUAAAAAAUAUCAACAGUUAUUAGAUUUAUAUAUAUGAAUUCCCACAUCUAAGCACGUGAACAAAUUGUUGUGAAGAGAGGCUCUCAUAACCAAGGCAAAGCAUCACAGAUGAGAUCAACAUUGGCUCAAUUCACUAUCUUCCGAGCACCCGCCAGUUAUUUUAUCUGCUCAUUUUCUUUUGAUAACUGAGUAUUCAUUCUCAACGUUAGCUUGUUGGCAGUAAUAAUACAAUAGGAAAGCAGAGUUUCACUUACUACAUUGAGUCCAAGGAGUGGAAUUGGUAGUAUAAAUAAGUCUUAACUUCUCCUAGGCUCAAAGUGCUAUUAACAGGUAAAAAGAGUUUGAUAUGAUUCAUUGAUACAAAGAUUGACUCUUACAAUUAUGAGGGAUACAUGCACAAAAUGUGAGAAACUUUCCAGCCUAUAUCAAAUCUCUCCUUGCAAGGAAUGCUCAACCAAUACAAGAAGAGUAGCUGGAAGUAAUAUUACACCGUGAGAGUCACAAACAGAAAUCGAAGGAAAACUAUAUAGAUGCAUGACAACGUUGAGAUGAUAUUGCAAGGGUUAAACCUACUGACUCCAUGUGAGCAUCUAGCAUUUCUGCAUCUGACAUAGCUAAUCUAUCUAACAUAAAUGACAUCCCCUCCAAUUCAAGUUCUUUAUCUUCG